rnacentral:lncRNA from 1 species
GAUGGUGAGCUUGAAAUGGAAGAUGUGUCUGGUCACCCAAAAGAUGAAAGACCUUUAUUUGCAGAUGAUGUGAACCAGUCUGGCUCUGAUAGAACCCUGGAAUCAUGUUUAGAUAAUAUAUCUGAUUUGCCUCCUCUACCUAUUGGAUCCCCUCCAUUACCUCCUUGUUCUCCUCCUCCCACUCCACCUUUGCCUUGUGGAAUCCUGUUUAGAUAAUAUAUCUGAUUUGCCUCCUCUACCUAUUGGAUCCCCUCCAUUACCUCCUUGUUCUCCUCCUCCCACUCCACCUUUGCCUUCUUCACCCCUUCUAUCACCUGCGCCACCUCCACCUCCAUCAUCUCCAUUGCCACCUCCACCACCACCACCACCACUUCCUAUAUCACAACCCCCACCACCUCCAUCUCAGCCGCAUACUUUCCCUUCACUGCCCACCGGACCGCCUCCGCUGAUGUUCCCUCAACCAUCUUUUCCACUUCAACACGAAGUAGGGACACAACACUUACACUCUCUCGCUCCAGCAGUACCAUCAUCAUCGCCUGUAGUGGCAUAUCCGCAACCUCUUGCUAAUGAAGUUGGUAGCUUGCCUAGUGUAAGGCUUCUUGCUUUGAUUAUUUAUGUUCUCUCAUUAUAUAACACUAAGGUUAUAUUCCUUUACAGGGUCAUCGGCUACCACAGACAGCUGGAACUAUGCCUCAUGGCCCUUGUAUCAAUGCUUCUAUUAGGAAUGAGGUAUUCCCAUUGCAACCACCUUCUUUUACACCAGCAGGAAUUAGUAGUUCACGGGAACCUUCUGGAUAUAGUUCACGGCCUUUAGAAUAUGGUUAUAGUGAUGCAUAUGUAAACCCACCAGUUUCUCAGUCUGCACAGAAAUUUCAACCUGGUAGUUUACCUUUUGCCCCAAGGCCCGUGCAUCUUAACCCUCCACAUCAAAUUGCCUCCAAUAGUUUUUCGUAUCCAAGGGCCCCACUGCAGCAGCAUCCACAGCAAGUAUAUCCUGCACCAUGCUCAUUACCGGAGCGCCGUGAUGGAUCAAGAGGUUAUAUUGGUGAUGAACAAUGGAGGGUGCAAUCCAAUGAGUUUAAUGGUGACCACCAGCGCGGUAUAUGGAUUGGUACAGGAAGAGCAUGUCCUGGUCCAACUAUUGCUCAGGAAGGUUUGUCUCUUACUUUGUGCUUUCGUUAAUUUACAUGGGAAGCAAAGUGGCAGGAGUUGGAUUAAAUAAAUUUCUACUAGCUCUUAGCAAAUUUCCCGUACUCGUGAAUUUUGUUGGGAAAUAUUAUUGAAAUUCUUGAACCUGCAUAUGAUGCUCAUACUGGCUGUCUUUUAUCUGCAUUGUUAAAUGGGUUAGUGCUGAAACUGGUACAAGCUCCAAGUUUGGUGAAGUGUUGAACUGGAUCAGUUGAAAGACAACGUCAUUCAAGUGACUUCCAAAAUCUAGCUGUUGCUUGUCACUGGUCAGGGCAUAGUUAAGAUUUGUAAUAACACUGAGACAUGCAAUCAAGUUAGGUGUUACUGCUUGUUCAUUGUUGACAAAUGAUACUAUGCACCUGUGAUGUCUGAUUGUACGCUUUUAGUAGAGUCAUGUUUUGUAUGAUACGUAUCUAGUUUGGAUACAUCUUGUAUGCAGGAAUUUUUUUGUAAAAUUUAAUUUUAAUUAAAAGAGAACGGACUAAGUUGCUCGGACUCGGGUGGGGAUAUCUAUACAUGCACGGAUCUGAGUGUCGGAUUCGGCAAAAUCUAAAUUUUAAGAUAUGGGGGUGCGGAUCCAGGUAUGGAUACGGGUGCAGUAUUUCAGCUAAAUAAAUUCAAAAUUAUAAAAAAUGGAGGUAUAAAGAGAAAAAGAAAGCCAUUCAAGACCUUCCACCAACUCUCCAUCUAUAUCGCUGCUACUUCUACCAGAAGUCCGAACUUAGAACACGAUCCCUUGAAUUCUUAUUUUUUCUGAAGCACAAAGCAGCAAAUGUGAGAUAAAAGUACUACACUAUUGAAGGUAUGCCAUUUCCCACAUCUUAAAUCUAUUUUAUUUUUAGUUUUGAGAAAUCAAAAUCUCAAUUUCACCCCAAAUUUGUCAAUGGACUCGGGUCAAAGUAUCCGAAGUUAGUUGACCGAAUCCGAGACGUAUCCCGCACCCGUCCCGUGUCGAGAUGGGUGCGGCACCAAAAACGAAGAGUCCGCGCAAAUUAGAGAACUGAUAGUGUAUUUGGCAUUCCACCAUAGUUGAGGAUGGUAAUACAGCUCUCCCAUAUACUUAUCAUGAUCAGCAACAUACAUCAAUAUAUUUGGAGAAAUAUUGCUGUCUUAAAAUUUAACCUUCGAUAUUUAUGGUAGAGGCUCGUCUUAAUCCCUUUUGUGGCAAUGCAUUUGAUGGAAAUGUAUUUAAAUGAUUCAUAUGACGGCGUGGCAAUUCACUUAUAGUUUUAGUAGACCCUGCCUCUAUCCUUCUUUUCUCGUUCCAAUUAAACUCCAUCUCUAUGGCCGGUUUCAAUGUGGAGUUUUGUACUUUCUUCACAUUUGUGGGCCUACAGUACAUACCUAUGUUCUUUACUUGGUAAAAUGUUGAAGUGAUUGCUAGAAAAAGUUUUGUACGCUUCUGUUAACUAAAAAGAAAACGUGGAGCAAUCUUGAAUUUGAUUUGUUAGUCAUGGUAUAGCCAUUCUGCAAUAGGCCAGUUUGACGAGUGACUUCCAUGGCAGGUUAUUUCAGACCUCCUGAUAGACCAUCUGUGAGUAAUGUUGGAUUCCAACCUUCUUCUGGAUCAAAUGCUUUCCCUACUGGUCCUCCAAUUUCAGGUGAUAUAUUGGUCAAUAAUUUCUGUUAGUUUAAUUUGCUUUUCGAUUUGUAGUCUCAGCUUUGUGGGAGAAGAAACUGACCUGCUAGUGUGGUAGGUCAUGGAAUGCCUUGCCGACCGGAUGUAACUGCCCUCAACUGGAGGCCAGCAUGAGAGUUGUCGGAGUAGAUUUUGAUCUUUGGUGAGUUUUAGGUUAAUCAAGAUUUUUGUUUUGGGACAGGACUUAGUUGACAUAUCUCUACAUCUGAGCCUUGUGCAUGUAGAGUGUUUCAGCUCUUCAGGAUAUGUCAUUUACUGCACUUCUAUCUUAAAUUUUCUUCUUUCUUGGUGAAAUAUGACCUUUGUGUUUCUUCUUUGCAGUAUCUAAUGGUGACUCAAGUAGGAUUCAGGAUUGGUAUCUGGACAAAAGUCAGUCAUUUAAGCAAUUGCUGUAAAGUUGGGUGACCCUUGGCAGGAUUUUGUACUAUUGUAAUUUUCCUGGCAAAUGCAUCUGACAGACAUAUACUUAACAAAGUGUAAGCCCUGUUGACCCUUGUAAUUAUUCUCACUAUACUGAGUUAUAGAGUUCGGUUGAGAUGAUAAGUACUUGUAUUAGCUGGUCAUCUUCCUUUUAUUUUCUUACUAACAUAAAAGUUUUUUUUAAACUCCUGGUUAAUCUUGUUUGAUUUGGUGAUGCCUUUUAGUCUCCAGGUGAAUAAAUCACUAUGAUAUAUUAGCAAUGAGUAACUGACCCUGUACAUGUACAAUGAGGAUCCUUCAUAAUUCUGAAAUAUGUUUACCACUGAGCGAUAUAAAUUUUUUGCUGCCAUACUUCAUAGAUAACUGAGGAUUUGGGAGAAAAUGUGUUUACCACUGAGCGAUGUAAAUUUUUUGCUGCCAUACUUCAUAGAUAACUGAGGAUUUGGGAGACGCAUAACCGAUAUAGGCUCUACCAGACUUUUCCUUUUUCAGAUUCUUAUUUUAAGCAUUUCCAUGUCGGCAUUCUUAACAAUUGCUCACAUUUCAUUGAAUCUAACCUUGUAAAAGUUAAGUUAAUCAGACUCUCUUUUGUUUUACAGUUGAAGACUUAUGAUACCUAUCUAUUCAAAAUUUCUAAUUGGACAUCCACAUGAACAUUAGGGUUGGGGCUCCCAAGGUACCAUAUGGCCAGCCCCUUCGGGUGUCUCUUGAUGCAAACAAAGAAAGUCGACGGGUUUUAACAUAACCUUUCAAAGCAUCCCCUCAUCGUAUGGCUAAGAACAUCUAUGUGGAUAGGAUUGGAUUCAUAGUGCAAAUUAGGAGUAGGUACAAACCUUCAUUCAUCUUCUCCUAUCUCUACCUUGGAAUAUCCAUCAUCUUGGUGAAAAAUAUUUUGCCUCGUGUUAUUUAUUAUCUAUAAAUAUAAUAUUUUCAUUAAUUCUCUCUGACUUAAAGGGUAACAAGUUAGUAAUCUCUCUCUUUUCUGUUUUCUGACAUCAAACUGUUCCAAUAUGUAUCAAGGGUCCCUAUAAAUUGCCCCCCCUUGAUAAAACUCAUGACAAAAUCUUAACAUGUGCCAUUAUUGAGAUGUUGUCAUGAGUUUUAUCAAAGGCGCGCUUAAGCCUUGAAGCGAGGCUCAAAACAUGUUGAGCGUUUCGCCUCGCUUAACGGGAGCUUCAGGUGUUGUCAUCAAGGCUCUAAGGCAUACUUUUCCUUGCGUACGGGCUUAAUCCGGAAGAGGCGACAGACACUAAACAAUUGAUAUUUCACUUUAUCGUAAAUUUUCAUCAAUUUAUUUGUCCAUAUAUUUGGUAUUCUUGGUAAGCAACCCCCACUUCCAACCGAGAGGUUGUGAGUUCGAGUCUCCCCAAGAGCAAGGUGGGAAGUUCUUGGAGGGAAGGAUGCCGGGGGUCUAUNNNNNNNNNNNNNNNNNNNNNNNNNNNNNNNNNNNNNNNNNNNNNNNNNNNNNNNNNNNNNNNNNNNNNNNNNNNNNNNNNNNNNNNNNNNNNNNNNNNGGAAACAGCCUCUCUACCCAAGGGUAGGGGUAAGGUCUGCGUACAUGCUACCCUCCCCAGACCCCACUAAGUGGGAUUAUACUGAGUUGUUGUUGUAUAUUUGGUAUUCUUGCUUAUAGAUAGUCUUGGACUACGCAUACAUAUUUGUAGUUUUUUUUGAUAAGGUCAGAUUUUAUUAAUAGAAGUACAAGAUGGUACAAAAGCGUACAAUCCAGCUGGAUUACAAAAAAGAACUACAUAUCAACUAAUUUCAAAUCCCCUAAAUCCAUAUCACCUAACUCCUCUACAAAGUUUAAACAUUGUUCCAAAUUUUCCGUAAUACUUCUUUUACACCAAAUCCCAUCUUUCCGAAUUAGAACCUGUCAAGUCUUGAAGCACAUUGAUAAUCAAUACUCCUUUACCAUGUGAACUCAUCCCCAUGAAGUGGUAAAUCCAAUAAAGUUCGACGCUGGAUUGUUUUAUUAAACUCUCUCAUGGCUUUUGUAUUUCUUGCUCUACACAAUUUUUAGUCUUCAAAUUUGAUAACAUUAAAAUCACCUCCAAUUACCCAUGGCUGUAAAAUUAGCCCAGAGACUGCACCCAACUCUUUCCAAAGAGUUCUUCUUUCUUGCCUAUCACAUGGUGCAUAAACACCUGUCAAGGCACAUUGGAACCAGUAUUGUCCUCUACUAGUACUAGAUACACAGUAAUUGAGUGUUUCCCUAUGUGAUUGUCUAGGCAACUCCAUAUUCUCUUGUAAACCAAGAUCCCACCACUACUUCCUAUUGCCUCCAAUUCAACCCAAUAUGUCCAUCUUGAGCCUCCUACCUGCCCAAUACCUCCAAUCCUGGAUUGUUUUUCUGCAUUUGCACCUUUCUUCAUUAAAGCCAAUGCUUUAUUUGCGCUUUGCGCUUAAAGCCCCAACAGACCUUAGAGCUUUUUAUGCUUAUCGCCUUUGAUAACACGGGGUGUUAUGUUGCUGAAUGCAUUUCUUACCCCUCAGUCCCAUCCCAGGCUGUCUACUUUUUAGUUCAUUCUACCCUAAAUUGUUGUCCCAAUUGCAUAAAUUGCUAUUAUUUUCCCUCUAAUGAGUAAUGACUGAAGUUAGUGCAAGCUAGAAAUAUUUUUUAGUUCAACUUUGACGCGACAUCUGGUAACCAACUUUUUGAAUUUUACAGAAUUCAAACUAUUAUUUUAAACAUGUAUCUACGAGACUCCAUAUAGUUCACUCAAACAUAAGGAUGAAGGGAGUCUCUUUUUAUCUUUUUCCUCUUGUUUAUAGAGUUAAUUUUUUGGCCUCUUAGUCUGCGGCAAUCUCCUUGGGUAAAUUGUUUUCGGAUGGGGUUCUUUAGAGCUAAAAGAUUUGAUUGGAUUUUGGAAGCCGUUGAAGAAACCAUCGCUUGUGCUGUAAACAACAUUGUUUCCCACAACCGAGCUGUAAAACAAUAAAAAUGGCAUAUUUGAUAUAGUCAAUGAGUGACACUCUACCAUUUUGUUUUUUAGAUAAAUAAUAUCUUCACAUGUUCUUCGCAUGGGCUGUAAAAUGCAGUAUCCCGUCUUCGCGACUAUUUUUUUCAUCCUCGGCCGAUAUAGCUGGCAAAGAGUCGCUUCUCUAUUUGGUCAAUAGUUUAAUUUUAGAAUUUUGAACCUCAUCUGAAGUCGACUUAGAAAUAUACCCUAAUAAUUAUCAUAACAAAAUUUCGGGACAAAAAUGGAAGCAUGUGUAAUUAAAUUUCGUUACAUAUCAGAUUACGGUGUUGAUAAGUCUCUGUAAUCUAAUUCUCUGAAGCUGCAGCUACCACCAUACUGACUUUUUGAAUUGAACCUUCUGAAUGGUUAGUGUAUUAUCUGAUUAUUCGCGUAAUCUGAUUCUCAGAAGCUGCAGUUACCACCAUAGUAAGUAUUAAUAUAAGCUGUUCAGACGGUUAGUUCUUACGAUCAUAUUCUUUGAAGAAUCUGAAAAGGCCUACCUGGCUAUCGGAAAUCCUUUGAUUUUACUAAGAUUAAGAAUGAAGUUAUUCGAGAGAAGGUGGGGGUGGCCCUGGUGGAUGAGAAGAUGCGNNNNNNNNNNNNNNNNNNNNNNNNNNNNNNNNNNNNNNNNNNNNNNNNNNNNNNNNNNNNNNNNNNNNNNNNNNNNNNNNNNNNNNNNNNNNNNNNNNNNNNNNNNNNNNNNNNNNNNNNNNNNNNNNNNNNNNNNNNNNNNNNNNNNNNNNNNNNNNNNNNNNNNNNNNNNNNNNNNNNNNNNNNNNNNNNNNNNNNNNNNNNNNNNNNNNNNNNNNNNNNNNNNNNNNNNNNNNNNNNNNNNNNNNNNNNNNNNNNNNNNNNNNNNNNNNNNNNNNNNNNNNNNNNNNNNNNNNNNNNNNNNNNNNNNNNNNNNNNNNNNNNNNNNNNNNNNNNNNNNNNNNNNNNNNNNUUAGGCUAUUUCUGCUGGAGUUACUAAUGCUUUAUUGUUUUUGUUUUUGUCUUUGUUUUUGUUUUACUGCUGUUUUUCCUUUUAUCCUAUAAGCCGGGGUCGAUUGGAAACAGCCUCUCUUUCGGGCAGUGGUAAGGCUUGUCUACAUAUUACCCUCCCCAGACCCCACCUGGUGGGAGUAUGCUGGGUAGUUGUUGUUGUUGUUACUAGCUGUGUUGUCGGCAUUUCAGCAUUUUAUUUUGUACAUUUAUUGAAACAGCUCCUCCAUUUGGCAUUGCCUUGAAACUGAUGUUAUUUGGCAUUCAAAUCAUUCAUAGUAUUGGCUGGUCUUGUUCUUAAACCUGCUGGAUGUGACAGAAAUUGCAAAGUACCAAACUGUUCUUAAUUUUAAUGCAUAGCUGAUGGAAUGUCAAAAAUUACAGGCUUCAUUCCGACGUAUUGGUGAAGUAUGGAUUUGGUAGCACUAUUAAUACUUAGAACAUUCUGGGGGAACCAAUGGAAUUAAAUCAUGUAACUUUAUGAACAUUGAAAAUAAGAGAACGCAUUUCAAGUCCAAUUAAGUUACUGUGGUGCAGUCUAGUCUAGAAAGAAUUCUGGUCUUAGAAGCUCAAAUCAAGCCGAUGCCUCAACGCUUUUUAUCUAGUGUUUAACCUUUUGAUUGCAGCCAAGGCAAGAAUCCUUGAACCAAAUUCAGAACUUGUCUCUGUAUGGCAGGAAGCUCUCAAUUUAUUUCAUACAUUACUUUCUUCUCAAGGUUCGGUGCUUGAAGAUGAGAUCCUUGAGACCAUCCCCUCUCUAGUCACAGAGGAAGAUAAUAAGAUGCAUUACUUUCUUCUCAAUGUUCGGUGCUUGAAGAUGAGAUCCCCUCUUUCUUUUUGUGUGGUGUUAUUUGCUUAGGUUUCUUAAUGUGUAAUAUGUCGUAGCAGUUAAAUUAGAGUAGGGUGAGUAGAAAUGGCAUCAAGAAAAGGUGGUUUCAGCACAGGAUUUAAAAGACAGUUUGAGUGACUAAGCUCCUGUAAUCACACAUACAAAUGUUUCAGAGAAUGAUUGUGCCUCUUGUUCUGUUGGCUCCCAGAUCCACUUAUUCAGAACACAUUAGCAUACUUGGAUAUGUUUUCUUUGCAUGUCGCUUAGAGAGAGAGCAUGGUUUAUAAUAAAUAUGAGAUUUGCCACUUUUCUCUGGUUGAAGUGGGAUCACCAAAACCAUCUUGUUCUUGCUCUUGAAACCCCUAUUAGAGCCUUCAAGAAUGUGGGUUCUAUUCUUUCAAAUUCUUUUCUUCCAGGAUUCACAAAGAAGAUGCCGCAUAAAGAUUGUUCUUAUCAAAAUAUUUUACCUACUUCUAUAGAUUCAUCCACAUACAAGUAGAUAACAGUUUUUGAUUGGUUUAGCGUUAAUUUGUUGCUAGCAGCACACAUUUACUGACAAUUAGAUUAUCCUUCCACAAGAAAGCAUCUUCUAUUUGGGUAUCCUGUGAAUUUUGAUGGUUAACUGAUGUGAUAUGCCUUAGUGGUUUAGGGGUGAUUAUAUUGUUCUACUCGUGGUUUUCAGGGAAAUUUCAUCAAUCAUAUCUUUGUGGUUGGUACAAAAGCCAGGAAGGUUUACCAGAAAAGUGUAAUCAUUCUAGGAUGAUUAUUGUAGUUUGACAUCUCGUGGCUAGUAUGGGAAAAUAUGACUAGGAGUCUUUAUUAGCGCUUUUGCGAUGAGUGUCCUAAUUUUUGCCAAACUAUGCACAACAUAAAAAAAUGAAAAACCUAUGUUAUCCCAUCCCCCCCCCCCCCCCCCCCCCCCCCCCCCCCCCCNNNNNNNNNNNNNNNNNNNNNNNNNNNNNNNNNNNNNNNNNNNNNNNNNNNNNNNNNNNNNNNNNNNNNNNNNNNNNNNNNNNNNNNNNNNNNNNNNNNNNNNNNNNNNNNNNNNNNNNNNNNNNNNNNNNNNNNNNNNNNNNNNNNNNNNNNNNNNNNNNNNNNNNNNNNNNNNNNNNNNNNNNNNNNNNNNNNNNNNNNNNNNNNNNNNNNNNNNNNNNNNNNNNNNNNNNNNNNNNNNNNNNNNNNNNNNNNNNNNNCCCCCCCCCCCCCCCCCCCUUCAUUCAGAACCCGAGUAGCUUGUUGUUCACUUUUAAAGUCUGAAAAGAAAUGUGGUAUCACCUAAAGGAAGCACCUUCAACCCAGUGUUUAAACCCCAACGUUAUGCUGACUGCUGCUGGAGAGCCGGCACUCGACAAAGCUCCCAACCUGACAAGUACUAAAGAAUUUCUUCCUUCUUUGUAUGUGUGUGUGGGUGAAAGUCGAAAUGUGGUUCUUUGCAUGCAUCCAAUUCCCUACUGUUGGCUUCAAUUUCAAGAGCCGGUCAAGCCAAAGCACCUGUGAAUGUUAUAUUUUCUCUUUUCCCAGAUUCUAGAGAGAAGUAGGAGUUUCUCUAGAGAGAUCCCAUAUCUUUUAUAUGCAGCCUAGGUUUUUGAGGAGAAUUGUUAUCAAUCAACUUUACCUCAAGCCCAAACUCGGAGGAAAAUGGAUAUGUUUGCUAAAUUGGCACUUUUAUUUGGUUCUGGUUAUUACAAGUUUGUUAUUUAGUCUAAUUGAGAUUGCAGUUUCUUGGUUGUUUAGGUUCAGGCUUUAUUGUUAGCAGUUAUUUGCAAGUGGAGGAUCUAAACAGAGACAUCUCUAGCCUUCAUUUUACUGGAACUACGAGGGUGUUCGAUUGCAGAUUGUAGUAGGAAUACUUCUCAUGCCAUAGGAUUAGUGAUGGGGUUCUAAUGCAACUGGCGUAGAAAUGCGAUUUGAUACGUCAAAAUAUUUCAUUAUUGUGACUCCAAGAUUAUGUCGCCUAACAAAUAGUGUUGUCAAAGGUGCGCUUAAAGCGCGCUUACGCCCUAAAGCGAGGCUCAAAAUACGUUGAGCGCUUUGCCUCACUUUGUGGGCGCUUUAGUGUCGCAUCAAAACUCUAGCGCAUACUUUCCUUGCCAAUGAGUGUAAUCCUGAAAAGCGACCUUUAACAAUUGAUAUUUCACUUUAUCUUGAAUUUUUUUUUAGUUUCUUUGUCCAUAUAUUUGUUAUUAUGAUUGUAAUGAUUAGUCUGGGACUACUAUGCAUACUUUUUCUUUUUCCCCCGUUGCACCUUUUUCCAUUAAAGCCCCUGCUUUAUUUGCGCUUAAAGCUCCAACGGACCUUAGAGCUUUUUUGCGCUUGUCCCUUUGAUAACACUGCUAACAAAAUACCGGUGGCCUUUUGUGUAAGAGUAUUAUUUGUUCCAUUUAAAAAUAAAUACUAUUAACGUGUUUUGACUUGUUUGAAACCAGGUAAUGAUUAGAGUAAUUGGUUAGGUCAUUACAGAGUAAAUUAGGCAUCAAUAAAAAAUACUUCAUCCGUUUCAGUUUAUGUGAACCUAAUUGGAAACAAUUUACCUUUAUGCAAUGAUUUAUAAUCACACAAAAUACAUAUGCCUCAUGUUACACCACAAGUUCAAUAGUCCUCUCUCUUUUCUUAAGCUCUGUGCCCAGUCAAAUAGGUUCACAUAAAUUGAAACGGAGGGAGUAGUAUAUUACAAACUUUGAUAAUUAUGAAAUUAAGUAUUUUAUUUUGAAAUUGGGUAUGGAGCAUGGUGUGGAUUGAGACUUCACAAAAAUGGAAAUAGGAUUGAGUUCUUUCAAGCUUAUGGGGAUGGUAAGAACCAAGCCUGGACUAUAGCCUUUGAAAUCACGUCUUCAAUUUUUGAUUGAAACAUGGAAUUUCAAUGAAAUCCCAACAACUCUUUAGGGGUUGGUUCACCUGCUAGUUAUGCUAAUAUAAUUACGCAGGUAUACUGCGAAUAAUAUUGUAGGGAUGCAGUGAAUAAUUAAAGAUUAUUUAUUUUAAGAGCAUUUUUGUCUUUCAAUACCUUUUUGUUGAUUUUUCUUGUAAGGUAUUUUUGUCUUUCAAUACUUUUGUCUCUACAUUGUUGCAUUGCUGAUACACGUAAUUUUCUUUCGCAUUAUACUCCGGAUAAAAUAAUACCUAGAUUCUCAAAUAACUUUAUGUGUGUGCUCCUUUUAUCCCAAUUUAUGUGAUGGUAUUUGACUAGGCAUCGAGUUUAAGAUAGAAAGGAAGACUUUUGAAACUUUUAGUCUAAAAUGAGCUAUAGAUAUUUGUGUGGGUAUAAAUCAUCUCAUUAUGGAUAAAGUGGAGAUUUUAAAGUUAAAUUGUUACUAAAUAUAGAAAUGUGUCAUUCUUUUAGGGCUAACCAAAAAACAGCGAGUCAUACAUAAAUUGGGACAGAGGGAGUAUUAUCUAUUAUCACCACUCAAACGUUGCAUUAGUUGUAUAGUGAUUUUUUUCUUAUACGCCAACCAAACGUUGCAUUAGUUAUGUAGAGAUUAUUUUCUUAAUCCAUCCAACCAAAUAUUGUAUUAUUUUAUGUGAGAUUUUAUGCCGGGACUGUUUUUCCUAAUCCCUUCAACCAAACGACCUCUAAGUGAAAUAAUGAUAUUUUGGUGUGGAAACUCUGAAAAUGAUGUGCUUUUUAGCAUUUAUAUUCUAGUGUAUAUGAAGGAAGAUGUGUGGAAAGCUAGAUGGAAAAGUACCAUUCGAUAUUUAGUUGGCAAAAGAGUUUGUUGAGUUUCUCUAAUAUCUACAUGUGCUCUGUGGAAACGUAUAAGUUAGUGUCACUGAGGGAGUAUGGCAGCCAUGCCGUUACUUGUGUAAGCAGAUGCAGCACAGCUAUUGGAAACACAUCAAAAUUUUAAUGUGCUGCUUGAGCAUGCAUUUUUGCGGUGUAUGUUAUUUUCAUGGGUAAGAUUUGGUACAAAAGUCCUUGGUAUAGAAGUAUCUACUAUUGUUUGCAGAGUGCAUGAAAUUAGUUGUUGCUUCAAGUAACAAAUUGCAGGUCCUGGCUAAUGAAAGACCUUGGGUGAUUCGGUAGGCACAGUAAGCCUUUUUUUUAAUCUCAUAGGUGCCUUAAGCUUUUGUUCUGCUCUUGUGUAAAGUUGUGGUGUGCAUGGGUUUAUUGGGGCAUGCGACAAAGUUUGCUUUAGUAGGAAACAAUGAACUUCUUGACGUGUUCGCUCAGUUUAAAAAAUGAUAUGUCUUAGAAUGUAUAGAAUAAUGGGCUGGUCUAGUAACUUUGCUGAUUUAGUUUCAUCUGUCAGAACUUCUCGUUGCUGUACUUUUCUCAGCAUCCUAACACUUAGAGGACACUCUUGAAAUAUUUUUCAUGUGGAGUUUGAAGUUGCUUUGGGCUAUGCCUGAAAUGAAAUUCACCCUUGUAUGGCUCGUUAUGUGAGAUAGGCCCAAUGAUUCACUCGCUUUUAUUAUUGGGGUGGAAAUUUGUUAGUAUUGCAUGGUAAAAUCAUGACAUAGGGUAUGUUGUAUUGCUCUGUAAGAUUUGGGUUUGUCAUGUGUAACAUAAUAAAGGCUAUCUCAGUGUGUAUGUCGGUGUCAUGUUGGGUAUCAAAUGAUGUGUGAUAUGUGUUAGUGUUACAAAAUGAUUAUUACGGUGUUUUGUGAGGUUGCAUGCUUUCAGCUUGAGAACCUAGGUUCUAUAUAAAUGUUAAACGAAAAGGGUCAUAUCAUAUUUACCCUUGCACUAUUUAAUAUUAGUUAUAUCUACCCUUUGUUAUACUUUUGACGUCAAUUACCCUCGCUAUCACACUUUUGAACACAAAUACCCCUCCCACUAACGGAAAACUUGGACCCACCUUCAAAAUAAUACAUGGAGGUCAUCUGUUAAUCCGGGUGAUUAGCCAACCCAUACCCUUAGAAAUAACCCAUCUUUCCGGAAAUAAAAGACCAUCAAAGAAACCCAAAAAGAAAAACCAAGAGACCCCUUUCCCCUCUCGGAUAUGCUGGAAAGGCCAAAAGACGACCAGAUUUUAAGAGAAAGAAAGGAUGACUAUAGUUUUUUUUUGCUUCUUAGAGAGGAGGGUUAGCAAUAAUGGGAUCCUUGUCUGAGGAAAAUCCAAACUAGAAUGGAGAAUGCUCGAAGCAUGUUGAAGAUGAAAUCUUUGCCCCUGUUCUCAAAAUUGAAUGAAGUUUAGCCAGAGAGGAAUGUCAUCUAAUAUCAUCUUAUUUUUUACUUUGACAAGUAUUGCUCUUUUUCUAAGAGAACUAGUUCUCUUCUGUUAGACGUGUAACUUGAACUUGCCUGAAACAUGGAGAACAACUGAAAAGAAUGAAAAGUAAUGCUUAAUUUUGUUACCUUUUAGAGACCAUUUUGCAUUAGACUUCGAAUAUAGAAAGGCACAAAUCUCUUUGUUCAUUCACAUCUGAUUGAGUAUUUGGUUAUAACGGAAGGUAUAUAUAACUAAUAUUUAAUACUACAGUGACAAAUAUGACCUUUUUCUGAAUAUCAAAUUGCAGCUCAUAUUGAAAUCAUCCUAUGCCUAUAGAUCUUAUGUUUGAUCACAUUUGUAUCUUAUUCCUGGUAGUUAGCUAGGGCCGAAGAUUCCUGUAUAUCGAUUGAUGCAUUUGUAAACAGCUAUUCAAUAUUGGCCCAUGGAUGGGAGGUGUAAUGUGUUCAAAAUUUUGGAAAUAGAUUCUAUCACCUCUAUCUCCCCAUCCUCCUUUAUUGCUUGUUGAGAUAAUACUAUCAAACAGCCUGUUGAAGUGAAAUGUUUGAUAGGUUUUGAGUUUUUUCCACUGAUCUCUCUCUUGGCUACAUAAUUUCCUUGAGAAACAUUGUUUAUCACCCAAAAAAGAACUGUUUUCAAGGCAUAACAUUAUAAGCCUUCUAUACUGGAAUGUGUUUAAUAAUCCCUUGGAGAGGAAGUAUUGACAGAAGUCAUGUGCGCUACUUCUGUCCUAUUGUAUUUCAGCAAGUACUCAACUAUGUUACUCUGCCUAGCUUAAAGAACAUUAUAUACUUGCGAGUAAAUGUGUCCUUGUAACUGCUACAAUUAUUACCCAGGGUUGUACAUCACUUGUUCCUUUGGAAUCUUUCGAUGAGGCAACAUCAAUUUAAUAAUAGACUAAUUGCAGCACAAAUUUGAUGAAACUCCCUUAAAGGGAAUGCUAUUAGAGUAACUAGUUAUUGCGAUUUAUUUGUUCUCUGUAAAAGUGACUUGCGUCUGCUUCCUAAGGAAGAUCUAAAAGUUCUUUUUCUUUUAUUGGUUUCCUGACUUGAGUGAUUCUUAUUUCAAUUUUCCUUUUUUCCCUCUUGGGGUUUUUGCAACGCUAGAAAUAUAUCUCUUAGUGUGUUUACAUGAUGGAGAUCAUCUAAUUUGAGAGUGAUUUUGUUAGCAAAUGUCAUUUGUUUCAGGUAUUUACAGAAGGUAGCUAGUCAGAAUGCAACAUUGUAGCUCUUUAUUGGUCAGCGGUACUCAAAUAAGGUCUGAUUGAUCCUUUUUCUGCUGCAAAAUUAUGAGGUAAUUGUGUAAUCAGAUCCCUGAACUGUAGCAGUGGUACUGCUUCCCUUUUUGCCCUUUCACCACAAAAUGGCCAUCAUUUUCGUGAAAGAGCAUUUGCAGUUCAUAUGACACUGUAGCUUAUAUAAAGUAAGAAGAGUUGAUAGUUUGACCAAGAGAGUACAGCUUAUGUAAAAUUUUCAUGUAUAUCUGUCAUCGAAUGGAUUAAAAUUUUGGAGAAAAAAGGUAAUUCUGUAAAUAAUUUGAAAUAUUAUAUAAAUAGGAUAUCCAGAAUAUUUUAUCUUUUCCACCUGGCAAAUCUUUGCACUUCUAUGUUGUUGAUUGACCAAUUGACGUUGGUCAAUCUGAUUUAGUGAGGUUUUCCAUUUUGGGACCUUUUAGCAGUGAUUUUGUGUAAUGGAUAUUGAUCUUACACAUCUGAGCUUCAUUAACUGAACUGCUUGUGGACGUUGACUAGCGUACAUGUCUAAACAGUGAUGUUGUAUUUGGAAGUUUGUAUCUGUGGUAUUCAUGAUUAUUAUAUAAUAAAUCACUUUAGGAUGUUAUUCAUUGAUGAGACCAUGGUAGCUUUUGGGUUAUGUUUGUUAAAUUUUGAAGUGAUCUGAUUCACUCUCACUGCUGCUUAGUGCUUAACGUUUAACAUAUGAUCUGUGCUUGAGUUCUGGUAAGGAUGAAGGGAUGCCACAAGAGAGUUUAGAAAGGAGAAACGUUGAGGGAGAAAGUAGAGGGAAAGCAAAUUGCUAAUUGAUCUAUCUUGUCCUACUUAAGAAAGUUCUUGGGUUACGUGAAAUAAAGGCCCAAAAAACCGAAAUUGUAGGAAAAUUGUUUGAUAUAUGUUUUUUCAAAAUUUAUAAUAAUAAUACAUGUGAAGUGUUGGCGCUGAGGUGAAAAAUCAAGAUGGCUGCUUGGUGGACCCAGAUUAACAUGCUCCCUGGAAUGGCCGCGGAAUAACUGCCCUUGUAACAGAGAGCCAUGCGUUCAUAGAGACAAGGUGGUAUGGACGUUUUCUACCUCUCUUGUGUUCUAAGCUAAAGCAAAUAAAUUAUGGGUAUAUAAUGAUUAUGAUUGUAAAAUGCUGCAUAAUAUAUCCAAAUAUUUUUGUGAAAGCAUUUCUAAUCUAUGUAGCUGCUAUUUUGUGUUCGUUGUUGUCCUAGUCUGCAUUUCUUACUCGAAAAAGAAAAAGAAAUGACAAAACAACCUAUAAGAUUUGGCAAAGAUCACUUUUAGCUUGCAGUUGAAACUUUUUCCUACAAAAUAUUUUUGCUCUCUAAUCAAAUACUAGAAAAUAUUUAUGGAAUUUUUUUCAUUCACCAACAGAACAAGGGAAAAUAAGUAAUAAAACUACUCAUUCUUCAUGAAAAUAAUUUUUAGGAAAAUAUUUUCUUCAUGCCAAACACUCCCUUAAUCAUAUACAUUGAAGAGUGGGGUACUUGUACUAAUAGAAGCUACGGUUUGUAAGUUUAAAUACAAACCCCUUCUCUCCCAACAAAAAUAUUAAAAUGUGAAAUAUGAAAAAGUUUGAUUUUCUGGAGUUGUAAGCGAAGUGUUGACUGUUACAUCCCUAGUCUUCUUGCUUCUGUUUCACAGGUAAUAAACCAAACUUAAUUUCAAGAAAUGGACACUUAUUCUAAUUAAAAUUUCGUGUAAUUCAAGGGCUAUUUGUCUAAAAUUAUUUAAGUCUUCUUCUCCUUUCUUUUUACUUAGCUUUUUUGGCCGGAAGAAGUAGGGAACUCCACCGCUUCGGCUUCGCUUAAGCGUUCUUCCAUCAUUAAAUCAUUUGACUAUUUCGAGUCAAACACUUCAUUUCCAAGUUGAUGAAUGUUGCAGGAACUGUAUUGGUGAAAAAAAGACAUGACACAUGGACUGUCAACAAGCUGACGGGUCAUGACACGUGGAUCAUCGAAGUAACUACAAGUGGCGUUCUCAAUUAGAUGGAUUAAGAAUGCAGAAAAGGCACGGGAGAAACACUCCCGGGGUUACGUAGAGAAAAGAACCGGACCUGACAACUGUUAAAAAGAGAAACAUGAACGAAAUGAAUAAAGGUUGCAAAGAAGGGAAGAUAUACGAACCAGAAGUAAAUAAGGAAGGGAAAUUGGUACAGUUACAAGGAAUCUUUAGUCAAUGUAUCAGUUACGAGUACAUAUGGUAACGGGCUAUCAUUACAAUUAGUACCAUUAGUGAGUCCAAAUUAAGUGUGAGAACUGUUGUAAUUAUUACCCUAUAUAAGGACAAAAAUCUCAUUUAUAAGAGCAAGUUACGAUUAUUAUUGAAAUGUAUACUACUAUUCUUUACUUUAUUCUCCAAGUUUUAAGCCUUAAUUUUGGGGAGUGAUUAUUAGUUCAUUUCUUAUUUUUCUUUGUCAAUCAUUUCCACUCUUUGAUUUAUUCUUCUAAAAAUUAUUGGGAUAGUGAAGUAAAUCUUGAUUAUCAGUAACUCGCUUUUUUCUAAAUAUUGACUUUAACCGAGAAAUCUAUUUUUGGUUUAAAAAAAUUAGUUUAGUUUACCGAAAUCUGAUAAUCUAUUCACUUUACAAUCUCUAACAAUCAAAUAUAACUACCAUUAACGACAACAAUCAGCUGAACAAACAAGAUGCACUUCCACCACAACAUACAACAACAGGAUUCCUCAACAAUCACGUGGAAGUUCUCCUGCAAGGUCUACUUGUCGUGCUGACGAUCAAUAGGGAAACAACCAAACUAUGGAGUAAGACACCCUAAAGCAAUUGAUUGCGGAGCACGUGAAUAAUGCGCUGCAAGCUUUUGUCAGUGGAUCAUCUAAUGCGGUGAAAACUCCUCCACCAUUUUACACAAUAACUUUGGAGAACACGCGUUUAGGGCUUGAUAAUUCUGGAAGUGGAGAAAAUCCUAAUGAAUCCCAUGAUGGAGGGUCAUGUACUCCAAAUAAUUCUAAUUAACAAAGUUUAGUGUUAACUUUAUAGAAACAGCUGAAGGAACAGAACAAUCGUAUAGAGCAGAUACCAGGAAUACCACUCGUAAUCAAAGGGGUAGAUAUUGCCAAGUGUCCACAACAACCUUGAAAGCUAAGUGCAUCACCUUUACCAAUUCCUAAAAAGUUUAAAAUGCCUGAUAUUCCCAAAUAUAAUGGAACAACUGACCCUCGAGAUCACGUAAAUGCGUUCACUACUGGCGUGAAAGGCACCGACUUAACAAAACAAGAAAUCAAACCAGGUUUGGUUAAAAAGUUUGGUGAAACACGUACGAAGGGAGCAUUAACAUGAUAUUCUCUUUUACCUGAAAAUUCUAUUGAUUCUUUUGGUGAGCUUGUAAAUUCAUUUAUAAAAGCAUAUUCGAGAGUUCAAAAAGUUCAUAAAAGGUUAGAAGACAUCUUUAAGGUUAAGCAGGGAAUAUAGAAUUGCUCAGAGAAUUCGUAGACAGAUUCUUGCGGGAGAAGAUGAUGUUACCUCGAGCACCUAGUAACUAGGCGGCUAUGCGGGAUAAGAUGAUGUUACCUCGAGCACCUGAUAACUAGGCGGCUACGACAUUCGCGAGCAACUUGAACGAGAAAAGUUCAUAAGCCACUAGAAUGCUGAAGGAAAGUUUGCGAUAAUUUCCAAAAACAACUUGGAACGAUGUAUACAAUAAGUACAAUACGAAGUUACGGAUAGAAUAUGAUACGGUCGCACAACCAAGGGCCGAUGAAAGAGCAAGAUCAAGACGUUCAAAAUCAGAAAAAAGGUUUGGAAAAAAUAGGUACGGGCCGUACAUGGAUAUGUAAGUGAGACUCCGAUCUAAAUAAGAGAAUACACGAUUUGACUCAAGACCAAGGCAAACAAACAUGAGCUCUUCAUCUAGGUUCAGAAAGGAACGGGAUGCCCAAGGCAAUGAUUCCAAUACACAAGCGAGGAUAGGAGAUUAAAACUUUAAUAUCAACACCUCCCAGUUAGUAGCUGUUUCAAGAGGUAUGGGGGAUAAGGUGAGGUGGCCUAAAUAAAUGAGAUCAGAUCCAAGCAAAAGAAAUUCAGAUUUUGGUGUGAGUUAAUGAUUAUGGCCAUAGAACAUCAGAUUGUAGAAUUCUGCAAGGACAAGUUGAGCAUUUGUUGAAGCAAGAUUAUUUACUGAUUUGUUUAGCGAGAAAGGAAGAUAAUCAUAUUUGAAUAAUAGACAAGAGUCUCCAAAACCUCCAUCACCGAAAAGAAAAGUCAACGUAAUAACUGGUGAAAAUAAGGUCAAUGGUGUAAUGUAUACAACUACAACAAAGACAUCAAUAGUCACGGUUACUCACGGGAAGCGAGUUCUCCAAGCCUUGGAUAGUGACAGUAUAACAUUUGACGAUGAAGAUGCUGACGACUAGAUGAUUCCUAAUAGCGAUGCACUGGUAAUAUCUUUACUUCUAUAUGAUACUAACGUAAAAUGAGUUUUGAUUGAUCCAGGUAGUUUAGUGAACAUUAUUUUAAUAAGGGUAGUGAAUGAAAUGCAAGCUAAUGAAAAUGUGAUACCAAAGGCACGGUCCUUGUCCGGGUUUGAUAAUUCAAGCGUUAUCACAAAAGGGGAAGUUGUACUCACCACGUUCGUUAAAGGAAUUGUCAAGGAUACAAAGUCUAGGUGAUAGACGUGGACAUGUCCUAAAAUAUAAUUUUGGCAAGACCGUGGAUUCACAAUACGGAUACUCUCCCAUCCAUAUUGCAUUAAGUUAUCAAAUUUCCUUCAGAGUGGGGGAUCCGUCAUGUCUUUGGAGAUCAGCAAGCUUCAAGAAGUAUCAAUUUGGUGGUGGUUGAAAGCACGGUAACCAAUGAUGCAUACGUGAAAUAACAACUACAUAAUUCGGUUGAGGAUGUUAUUACAAAGACCUCAACUAAAGACAUACCAGGAUAGACUGAUGUUGAUUUGAGACCCGAUGUUAUUCAAGAGCUAGACGAAAAUGAAAAUAUAAAUACAACUACUAAUAACUUGAAGCCAUAGUGCUAUUUGUACACGGGCCAGACAGAAAAGUUUACAUCAGAGCAAAUUUAAGCCCAAAAAUGAAAAGUAAGUUGAUUGACUUUUAUGAGCUACGCAAAUUGCUUUGCUUGGUCGCUCUCAAAUAUGACAGGUAUCACCAGAGGUGAUGGCCCACAAACUGAAGGAGAAUCCAUCAUAACCACUUGUCAAGUAGAAGAAGAGGAAGCAAGGAUCCUUCAAAAAUCAAGUGAUCCAAUAUGAGGUACAAAAGCUUUAAAAAAUUGGGUCAAAUACGAAAGGUAAAGUACCGUGACUGGUUAGCAAAUACCGUGGUAGUUCCCAGAAAGAAUGCAAAAUGGUGAGUUUGUGUAGAUUAUACCGAUUUAAAUAAACAUGUCCUAAAAAUUCCUUUUCUUUACCGCAUAUAGAUCAACUAAUUGAUUCUACCGCAUGACAUGAGCUUUUGAGUUUUUAGAUGCAUAUUCAAGAUAUAACCAUAUAAAAAUGGAUCCUCUAGAUAAAGAAUAAACCUCGUUCAUCAUAGAUAAUGGGGCUUAUAGUUAUAAAGUCAUACUAUUUGGCUUGAAAAAUGCUGGAUCCACAUAUCAAAGACUGGUGGCUAAAAUGUUUCAAAAACAUCUGGGAAAAACUAUGAAAGUAUACAUAAAUGAUAUAUUAGUCAAGCCAACACAGGCAGAGAUCAUUUUCAACAUUUAUCAGAAACUUUUGAGAUUCUCCGCAAGUAUAAUAUGAAGCUAAAUCCGAAAAAAUGUGCUUUUGAUGUGGCUUCAAGUAAGAUUUUAGGUUUUCUUGUUUCUAAUAGAGAUAUUGAAGUGAAUCAUGCGCAGAUAAAAACUAUCGAGGAAAUACCAGAUAUACUCGCGAGCAAACAAGAAGUGCAGAUACUAGCAGGCAGGAUAGCAGCCAUGGGGAGGUUUAUAUCAAACUCAUCAGAAAAACAUUUUAAAUUCUUUUUGAUAUUGAAGAAGAAGAACCAGUUUGAAUGGCUGAUAUGUGCCAAAAAUCUCUCAAGGACUUAAAGUCGUAUCUAUAAAAUCCUCCUUUGCUAGCCAAGCCAAAAGACAGUGAAAGGCUGCUCAUUUACCUUGCUAGUCAGAAGUAAUAGUAAGUGCAGUGUUGGUAUGAGAGGAUAAAGGUAAGCCACUAUUAGUUUGUAUGAGUCCACCAAACAGUAGAGUACCCGGUCCUCUACGAGGUUAUGCUAAGAAUACUUAGUAAGACUGUAAGUAAAUGAGAUAUAUGAUUAUAAUGUGGAAAAAUCCCAAUUCAAGGGGACCAUAUCUGAAAGCUUUCAACUUCACUAACUUGUAAAUACCUAUUACAAGACACUUUGUAAUAACUCUAUUACAAAGGAUUCAACUCAACUAACUUGUGGUACUCUCAGCACUAGCCACUUUGUGACUCUCUAGUUGCAAUGACUUUAACUUAUGACCAAACCUAGUCACAACAUAAACUCAAAGAGUUUACAGAUUUUACAAAAAGAUUCCUAAUCGACACUUCUCAAUAAACAGUUAUGAGGUACAAUAAGAACAAUCAAAAAGUUACAACUCAACUAACGACAACAAAAGACUAACUUUAGGAACUGAUCCAUAGUAGCAUUCAACUUUGUUCUUCAAGCUCGUAAGAAUUAAUUUCUCUAUUUUUGCAAAAGGCAUAAAUGAGAAAUAGAAAUGUUCAAGUGAUGUUUUGAUAUAAACUCAUUGUUGAAACACCGUGAUGAAAUCACUUGAAAUGAUGUAGGUCAAGGAAUAAGUGGAUACUGGAAACAAUGCAGUGCAGGCAGAAACAGUGCAGUCACAUUGCUUCCAGUUGUGUCUAAUUGGCUUUGUACUGCUGUGAGGAAAUUACAAGGGUAUCAGGUUCUUGUUUGGUUUCCUAUCUCCUGAAGCUAUAGCAGUUCAUCUUUAGCUGGAAUCUAUUAAACUUGCAGUAUAGUCCAAGUAGGUCAGGUUCCCUAUCUGGAUCUUAACAGUAAGUUUGUUAGAUCAUUAAAACAUAAGGCAGGGACAUUUAAAACCUAUCAGCAACCCCCAAAUUAUUAUGUUAGUAAUUCUUUACUAGAUGCAGAGACACAAUAUCCACACUUGGAAAAUCUUUCUUUAGCAUUAAUUAUUACAUCUAGGAAGUUAAGACCUUAUUUUUAAUAUCAUCCUAUUUAUGUAAUAACUAUUUUUCCACUAAGGAAUUUGCAUAAACAAGAAUUAUCAGGUAGAUUAUCUUAAUGGGCAAUAGAACUCGGUGAGUAUGAUAUCAUAUAUCAGCCAGAACUGCAAUAAAAUCGCAGGUUCCCUAUCUGGUUCUUAGCACGAAUUUAGUUCCUAAAGUAGAAAAGAAACUACAGGUAUUUACCAAAGCUAAUCCCGGGACUUGGACCUUAUUUACCAAUGGUUCUUCAAAUAUUAAAGGAGCGUGUUUAGGAAUUGUUUUGAUUCCACCUCCAGGGGAAGUCAUAAGACAAGCAAUAAAAUGUUAUUCAAUCACUAACAAUGAGGCAUAGAACGAAGCUGUGAUUGCAGGCUUGGAAUUGGCACACGAACUUGGUAUAGAAUAGAUUGUGAUUAAAAGUGACUCGCAGUUGGUGGUUAAUCAUAUGCAAGGGAGUUAUGUGGCAAGAGAAACGCGAAUGCAUUCUUGGAAAAGGUACGAGAAUUACUUAGACAAUUUCUGACAUGGAAGGUCGUGCAGAUACCUAGGGAAGAGAAUACAGAAGCAGAUGCGUGGACUAAUCUCGCAUCUUUCGCGGAUGUAACAAAUGAAGAAAAUGCUAUCGUGAUACAUUUAAUUCAUUUGGCACUCGACCAAGACAGGAGUGAGGUAAAUUUUAAUAAUCUAACUUGGGAUUGGAGAAACAAAUUCGUAAACUUUAUGCAGUAUGGUAUCUUGCCAAAGGAUAAGAAAAAGUCACAAUUACUUCGACAAAAAUCCGCUUGGUAUUGUAUAAUUCGUGGAAAUUUAAAUCAAAAGAUGUUUGAUGGACUUUUAGCACGAUGCCUCCGUCCACCACAAACGGAGUAUGUGAUCAGAGAAGUACAUGAGGGGUAUUAAGGCAAUCACGUCGGGGGAAGUUCAUUGAUAAAGAAAUUAAUAAGAGCGGGAUAUUAUUGGCCAAAAAUGAAAGAAGAAGCAGAAAACUUCGUAGCCAGGUGCGAUAAAUGUCAACAAUAUGCCAAUAACAUGGACCAACCGACAGAGCUGUUACAUUCAGUUAUUUCAUCAUGUCCCUUCAUGAAAUGAGGCAUGGACAUUGUAGGGCCGCUGCCUCAAGUGUAAGGAAAUGUACUUUUUCUGUUAGUUUUGAUAGAUUAUUUUAGAAAUGGGUAGAAGUAAGUGCGGGAAAAAGAAGUCAAGAAUUUUAUUAGGCGAAACAUUAUCGGUCGUUAUGGUUGUGAAUGUAUCGGUUUGGCAUAUCAGUUAUCGAUUUAUAUAUAUGCUAAACCAAUAAUCGAACCGAGAAGAUAUCCGUUAUCGAGAAUUAGUCAUCACGUUCAGUUAUCGAUAAAUAUUAGUCAGUUAUCGAUCCUUAUAGGUUCAGUUAUUGAUUUACUCGAUAAGAAUAAAAAAUAUUCAAAAUUUUUAUAUUUUUAUUAUAUAAAUCGUGAUAAUAUUUUGCUAAGAGAAAGGAACUGAUUUUUUACUCUCAAGAAAAGAGGGAUUAACUUUAGAAAAUAAAACUUUCUUUGCAUUUAAAAUUCUCAAUGAAUGAUCUCAAUUUUCAAUGUUAUAAGUUAGUAGGAGUAAGGAAUUAGACAUUCAACAUCUAAAUUUACUGACUCUCUCACUGCGUGAGGACAUAAUUCACAGAAAAAUAAUAAAAUCAUAAUCUUAUAAUUCUAAAGAAUCAGUACUACAAAUUAAAGUUUAAAAUCAUAAUCUUAUAAUUCUUUAAAGUUUAAAAUUAAAAAUAUUAUGAUGAGAAAUUCAAAAAAUUUUAAUAGUCACUAAGGAUUAAGGUCUGAAGAUGAAGAGUAACUGGUAAAAGAAUUGAGAGAGUGAAGGAAUGAAGCCAUAAGGUGGCUUUAUAUACUUGUGGGUAAAAUUAUAAUUUUAAUAAAGCUUAUUGGGCUAUCAAUUAAACUGUUAAUAAAGUUGAGCAAAACGAGACCCAGACCGAUAACCCAAUAGUCAAAUGACAUUAAACGGCUAUCGAACUAUUUAUCCAAUAAUCCAAUACAGAUAAGAUACAGAUAAUCCAAUAGCAUUUUCUCGGUUCGGGCUAUUGGUUAUACCCGAUAUGCCCGGCCCUAAUUUCUAGAAGAAGAUAUAGGGUUAGAGGAGUCCUAGGUCUAGAAGAUGAUGGCCUUGCAGAACUACUUUGAAAAGAGGAACCACGAUUAAAUAAUGAACCAAGACUACAAAGUCUAACACCUCUCCUACUUCUAGUAGGGGCAACGGAAGGAGCAAGUUCGUCAAUGAUCACAACUUUGCAAGGAUCUGGUGUUGAUGAAGACAUGUAAACAAAGGAAAUAUAGAGGAAAUGAUACAGAGAUACGAAGAAGGAUUAAGGUAAUAGAUACUGAAGGAAGAAGGCUUCAGAAAAUAAAAAAGAAUGAAUUAUUUUAUAAGGGAUACAACCAUUGUUAAAAUUGGUCAUUAUGAAGCGUCAUAAUAGAAUCGUCACUUCGUGACUGAUACAGCAACAGAAAAAACCCUAAAAAGCACUGAGAAACUACAAAUCCAAUCGUAAGAAGCCACAUGGCAUGGACAUUAAAUGAAUUUGACAUACGUCUCAUCGAUUCUGAAGGAGACAUGAUGAUACUCGAGAAACAACGACAAAGAAUUCCAACCAUACAAACUUACUACUUCCCUAGUAUUCAAUUGAGAAUAUUUAGAAAGUGGUGGUGGGNNNNNNNNNNNNNNNNNNNNNNNNNNNNNNNNNNNNNNNNNNNNNNNNNNNNNNNNNNNNNNNNNNNNNNNNNNNNNNNNNNNNNNNNNNNNNNNNNNNNNNNNNNNNNNNNNNNNNNNNNNNNNNNNNNNNNNNNNNNNNNNNNNNNNNNNACUAUGUAUUGGUGGAAAAAAGACAUGACACGUGGAUUGUCAACAAGCUGACGACUGACACGUGAAUAAUCGAUGUAACAACAGGUGACAUUCUCAAUUAGAUGAAUUAAGAAUUCCGAAAAGGCACGAGAGAAAUACCCGCGAGGUUACGUAAAGAAAAGAACCGGACAUGGUAGCUGUUAAAGGAGAAACAUGAACGAAAUGAAUAAAGGCUACAAAGAAGGGAAGAAAAACGAACCAAAAGUAAAUUAGGAAGGGAAAUCGGUACAAUUAGAAGAAAUCUUUAGUCAUAAAUGUAUCAAUUACGGUUACAAAUGGUAAUAGGUAAUCAAUACAAUUAAUACCAUUAGUUAGCCCAAACUAAGUGUGGGAACCAUUGUAAUUAUAUGCUCCUAUAUAAGGACAUAAAUCUCAUUUGUAAGGGCAAAUUACGAUUAUUAUUGAAAAUACACACUACUAUUCUUUGCUUUAUUUUCCAAGUUUUAAGCCUUAAUUUUGGGGAGUGAUUAUUAGUUCAUCUCUUAUAUUUCUUUGUCAAUUAUUUCUACUCUUUGAUUUAUUCUUCAAAAAAUUAUUGGGAAAGUGAAGUAAAUCUUGAUUAUUAGUAAUCCGCAUUCUUCUAAAUAUUGACUUUGACCGAAAAUUUUAUUUUUGGUUAAACAAGAAUGAGAAAGGUUUGAAGCAGCUUUUGCUUUGUUUGUUAUAACAAAAAUUAAAAAGGUUUAGAGCUAUAAAAAUAGCAGUUGGACAACAUGAUUUAAUGAUUGUUUUAACACAGGAAUUAGUUGGGUAUCAAUGAGAAUUAAAUUGAAAAAAGGAGAAAGCGAAAGGUGACAGAAAACAACCAAUGAGGAGUUGUGAAUUGUGAUAAAAGGGAAAACUGCUGUCGUUGAAAUCAUCAACUUACAGAAGAAAAUGUAAAAUGCUUACGAUAAUCUGGCUCACAUUCUGCAACACCACUGGCGAAACAUGAAAGUUCCCCACAUUCUCAAGGGACAAAUGCUUAAUUAAUUGCAACACAUUGAGGCUCCUUAUUGAAAAAUAUUAGCAAUUCAACGUAAAUUAAUUAUCAAUCUCCAGCAUAAGGGAUGAAAUAAAACACAAACCAUGUCAAAUAAUUAUAUAUUUUAAUAUAAUAUAGGUAUGAACAAUAUCAUUUCUCCCCAUUUCAGAUCAAUGAACUUAAAUGCCUAAUAUACAUAUGCUGUGAGUCACAAUUUGCACAAUGCACCAACAUGCUAUAACAAAAUUUGAUUAUAAACGUUGCUGCUAUAACUCUUCAACUUCUGAGACCAGUUCAACUUUGAACUUGCGCCAAUCAAAAUUGAUAAACCAAAGGAAGCUUAUAUAACCAUGAGAAGACCAAAGUGUUUGCUUCUAUCUUCAGUUCUCCAGUUACCACUUCACCGGAGGAUGCUCCGUCUGAAGUAUUUAAGAAAGUAACUUGUAAAAAGGUUAUCCAGAAAGAAUAAGCUAAUCGAGCGCAGUCUUGAAAGUAUUUAAGAAAGGAACUUGUAAAAAGGUUAUGUAGAAAGAAUAAGCUAAUCGACCGCAGUCUUGUUUCUUCGACCUGUAAUUGGUUUAGGUAAGCCAUCAAAGAUUGGCUUAGCAAUGGCUGCAGUAGAAAUUGCUUGAAAAUCUGGCUUCAAAUUCCACAGGGAAGACAAUGUACCACUAUCUGAAUCCUGCAAAUUUGAUGUACUUGAUGACUUCCUAACUACGGAUGCACUGUCAUUUAGGAAAGAAUCCCCCAAGCCAAAAGGAAUCGGACUUAUUGAACUUGUAUCAGCAUCCGCUCCGGAGAUCGUUCGAUUAGCUGACUUGGGUCUCAAAGCUAAGCCCUUGCCGCCAACAGCUGAAAACCAGCCACUGUUGCUGUUAUCUUCCUUCAACAGCAUUUCUGGGGUACGUGUGAAAUCAGUCUCUGACUUUUGACGCCUUCUCACUAAUUUCUCAAACCAUCUAUCUGAACCAUUGUCUCUGCUGUCUUGUGUAGAUGAAUGAUUGGCAGGAACUCCAUUCUCUGACAUAAAACCAUUAGCUACACUUUUAGAUUUUCUCUGCAGACUAAGUGGUGGAUUUGAAAGAGGAGAGGGUUUGACAAAUGGGCCGUCUUCCAGAUAAUGUGAUCCUCCCUUUCGAUACACUGCCAUUUCACAUCCUUCAGAUGCACGUUUCUGAUCUGGUGGUUUAAGCCCAUAAUAACCUUGUAAGCUGCUCAUGGCUGGUGAAACUUUUGACCGGGGAGAGGAUUUCAGUUUCAGGGACUGAAACGAAUCAAAAAAAUCAGAGUGUCGCCGGCUUGAAGAGGUCUGCUCAGAGCAGCUAGGUCUGAAAAGAAAUAAGUCACACUUAGCCACUGUUGCAGAUCAUAGGGUGAAAAGGUAAAAGAACCAAGGGACAAGCUUUGCAUAUUUGAAAAGAAGGUUUCAGGGUUUUUCGCGAUUGAAUAAGCCAAAUAAAUAAAAAUCAACUUUGCAUGUAGUUGCACAGUUGCACGAAUAAGGGUUUUUCCCGUUGAAUAAGCCAAAUAAAUAAAAAUCAACUUUGCAUGUAAUUACAGAGUUCUACAAAUACCCAAUGCAGAGGUAAAUCAAGUUAAUAAAAGUAAGCAAUCCUCAUACGCGUAACACUUCAACAGGUUCCUGCUGUGAAACUUGUAAGUUCAAAAGCAUGAGCUUCAGAAACAGUUCAGGUUCUCCCCUCAACUUGUCUACGCCAGGAUUAGUGAUAAGUUCCUAUGAUCUCUCAUUAUCAUAUAGUGUUUAUAUUUUAGUGACUUUGAAUUCCGAACCUGUAACCGCACACAACAAGUUCCCUACAUUUUCUCAGGGGCCUAAUUCCAUCUGCCUCUAAUUGAUAGAUGACAUAUAUAACAUGUUUUUAAGAGCUAUCCCAUGUAAGAAUGCAAUUCCCCCUUCAGUAUGGAUAUUUCCUAAAUCGACGGAAAACUAACUGAACUUGUGAAGGUGUAUGACAACAGUUAUAAGUGCAAGAAACACCUCCCAAGUAAGCUUAUCAAUCUUGAAACAGGAAAAAAUAAAAGCAUUCUCUUUGUAAUUGUUACGAAUCUCUGCUAUUCUCUUUAAAUAUAAGGCUAUGAGAACAUCACGUAAAAUAAUCACUUAUUAAGCAUGAAUCAUCGAUAAAUAAAUCUUAAGUACAUCAAGCUGAUCUCAAUUAUCAAAAAGAAAAAAUGAGUCGAAAUAAUCAUUCAUGAACAACUUGGUUUUUUUGCCACCCUCUCUACUUAUUUCUACAGCUAGUGUUAAAUAAUGCUGGCUUGUACUAUUUACUAUUUUUCAGGAAACUGCUUGAAACCACAAUCUUCGAACACCAAAACACAGUCCACUAGUACAAGUGUAUGGAAGAGUUCUAACCUAAGCUAAAUGGAUCUAUUAGAAGCUUUAUUUUCACAGAGUCCAUCAAACAGAACCUAGACCAAGCACGCUCUAUAUAAAUUCAGAAGCAAAUAAAGGUCGGUUGACCUCAAUAUAAACCACAGGACCAAUAAGAGAUGGUUCGAGUAGCUAGAGAUUAAAGCACAAACAUAAAUAAUAAUCUGUAGAUGGAUAAAGUAUUAUACUAAUAAAUAGGGAGUAAAUACAAUUUGGCGGAGGGGAAAAUCAAUGAUUUCAGCGUAAUUGUCACGAAAACCAAAACUCUGUGCAGCUCAAUUUUUGGAAGAAAUUUUCAUGAACUAUUAACCAAAGUGCAGCAAGUAACUGAAAGCAUGACUUUUGGACUUGAUCUCACCAGGGGCGGAUUUACAUGGUGGCAAGCGGUGUCACGGGACACCGCUUCAUCGAAUUUUUUUACUAUUUAUAUAUAUAAAAAUAAUAAGUAAAACAGAAAUACAAGAUAUAACCAUUAAAAGUGACACCACUUGCAACAAAACAUCUUAAUAGUAUAGUGGUUGCUAGCUUCAAGUCUUAUGUGAGAGGUCUUGGGUUUGAACUCCCUUGGCUCCACAAUUAUUUUUGACUGUUACAGUCCUUUUACUAGAAAUAGUGACACCACUUAUGAAAAAUCCUGCGUACGCCACUGGAUCUCACAUGCAUGAAAAUCUAAGUUGCUCGGACAUGGGUGCGGGUGUCCGACACGGGAUGGAUCUAGAGGUCAGAUCCUUCAAGAUGUAAAUUCUAAGAUUCGGGGAUACGGAUUCUAAUACGGAUAGGGGUACUGAAAUUCGGCUAAAAAUAAUUCAUAUAUAUAUAUAUAUAAACUAUGAGAAAUAUUGUGGAAUAUUUAUGUAUAGCUUGUGAAAUGUGAAAUUCUUUUUUAUUCUCAAGUUGUAGAUAAGUAAAAGAUUAAUUUCCUAGAUAAGGUAUGCUAUUUUCCUCAAAUUUACCCUAGUUUUGGUUCUGAACAGGAGUCAAAUAGUAUCAGGUGUCGACUUUUUUCGUUCGUCAUGGUCAAAAUACCCAAAAUUGAUGGACCAAACCCGAUACGGAUACCAUACCUACACACAUACUAGUGUCGUGUCGACACUAGUGCGGCACCUAAACUGUCGUGUUGGAGCAACUUAGAUGAAAAUAACAAUCAAUUUCCUAAUAUUGUGUGCAAAGGCUAAAAUGCAGCUGGGCACAAUACAAAAUAGAGGAAGCAAAUUAAUAAGUCAUACCAUGAAGGCCUGGGAGCGGGUGAUUGAGGCGAGGGUGAGAGAGAUGGCAUCUAUAUAUGUGAACCAGUUCAGUUUCAUGCCGGGUCGCUCCACUACAGAAGCUAUCCACCUUGUCAGGAGNNNNNNNNNNNNNNNNNNNNNNNNNNNNNNNNNNNNNNNNNNNNNNNNNNNNNNNNNNNNNNNNNNNNNNNNNNNNNNNNNNNNNNNNNNNNNNNNNNNNNAGACCUGCACAUGGUGCUUAUCGACUUGGAGAAGGCGUACGACAAGGUCCCUAGGGAGGUGCUGUGGAGGUGCUUGGAGGCGAAGAGCGUGCCGGAAGCCUACNNNNNNNNNNNNNNNNNNNNNNNNNNNNNNNNNNNNNNNNNNNNNNNNNNNNNNNNNNNNNNNNNNNNNNNNNNNNNNNNNNNNNNNNNNNNNNNNNNNNNNNNNNNNNNNNNNNNNNNNNNNNNNNNNNNNNNNNNNNNNNNNNNNNNNNNNNNNNNNNNNNNNNNNNNNNNNNNNNNNNNNNNNNNNNNNNNNNNNNNNNNNNNNNNNNNNNNNNNNNNNNNNNNNNNAGAAAACUAUUGAUUUUGAGGUUUGUUAUUGAGAGGUUAGAGGUAUGGAGACAGACUCUCGAGUCUAAGGGUCUCAAAAUAAGCAGAUUUAAGACAGAAUACCUGGAGUGCAAGUUUAGCGCCGAGCCGAGCGAAGUCGGCAGGGAUGUGAUGAUUGGAUCUCAGGUCAUCGCCAAGAGGGACAGUGUAAGAUACCUUGGGUCGGUGAUUCAGGGGGACGGAGAGAUUGACGGGGACGUCACUCAUCGUAUANNNNNNNNNNNNNNNNNNNNNNNNNNNNNNNNNNNNNNNNNNNNNNNNNNNNNNNNNNNNNNNNNNNNNNNNNNNNNNNNNNNNNNNNNNNNNNNNNNNNNNNNNNNNNNNNNNNNNNNNNNNNNNNNNNNNNNNNNNNNNNNNNNNNNNNNNNNNNNNNNNNNNNNNNNNNNNNNNNNNNNNNNNNNNNNNNNNNNNNNNNNNNNNNNNNNNNNNNNNNNNNNNNNNNNNNNNNNNNNNNNNNNNNNNNNNNNNNNNNNNNNNNNNNNNNNNNNNNNNNNNNNNNNNNNNNNNNNNNNNNNNNNNNNNNNNNNNNNNNNNNNNNNNNNNNNNNNNNNNNNNNNNNNNNNNNNNNNNNNNNNNNNNNNNNNNNNNNNNNNNNNNNNNNNNNNNNNNNNNNNNNNNNNNNNNNNNNNNNNNNNNNNNNNNNNNNNNNNNNNNNNNNNNNNNNNNNNNNNNNNNNNNNNNNNNNNNNNNNNNNNNNNNNNNNNNNNNNNNNNNNNNNNNNNNNNNNNNNNNNNNNNNNNNNNNNNNNNNNNNNNNNNNNNNNNNNNNNNNNNNNNNNNNNNNNNNNNNNNNNNNNNNNNNNNNNNNNNNNNNNNNNNNNNNNNNNNNNNNNNNNNNNNNNNNNNNNNNNNNNNNNNNNNNNNNNNNNNNNNNNNNNNNNNNNNNNNNNNNNNNNNNNNNNNNNNNNNNNNNNNNNNNNNNNNNNNNNNNNNNNNNNNNNNNNNNNNNNNNNNNNNNNNNNNNNNNNNNNNNNNNNNNNNNNNNNNNNNNNNNNNNNNNNNNNNNNNNNNNNNNNNNNNNNNNNNNNNNNNNNNNNNNNNNNNNNNNNNNNNNNNNNNNNNNNNNNNNNNNNNNNNNNNNNNNNNNNNNNNNNNNNNNNNNNNNNNNNNNNNNNNNNNNNNNNNNNNNNNNNNNNNNNNNNNNNNNNNNNNNNNNNNNNNNNNNNNNNNNNNNNNNNNNNNNNNNNNNNNNNNNNNNNNNNNNNNNNNNNNNNNNNNNNNNNNNNNNNNNNNNNNNNNNNNNNNNNNNNNNNNNNNNNNNNNNNNNNNNNNNNNNNNNNNNNNNNNNNNNNNNNNNNNNNNNNNNUGCAUGCUAUUUUAUUUAUGAUUCUUAUGUUUAGAUAAUUAUUUACGCUAUUUCUGCUAAAGUUACUAAUGCUCUUUUGUUUUGGUUUUUGUUUUUCUUUUCCUCCACUGAGCCGAGGGUCGAUUGGAAACGGCCUCUCUGCCCUUUCGGGUAGGGGUAAGGGCCGUCUACAUAUUACCCUCCCCAGACCCCACUUUGUGAGACUAUACUGGGUAGUUGUUGUUGUUGUUGUAAACGGUUUCCAUACCCGUACGCACCACAGAUUUUAUAAUAGCAAUUGGUCAUGCAUAAACAAGUAAUAAAACACACAUCUAAACCAGAAAUGCAAAACAUAAAUUUAUAGUUCCUUAGACAGGAAAGAGUCUUAUGUUAUCAAUAGCCUAGUUAAAAGAGGAAGGAAAGAAACAUUAACAGAAAAUGCUUGGGCAAUACCCUUGUGUGUCUUGACCAUUUGAUAAGACUGGAGAUGGGGGGUGCCUCCCAGGUAACGGUAUAUGAAGUGUUUUUAGAGCAAACAUUUGGAGAUCUGAUACCAGGCCAUUUAUCCUUUUAAUAUCAGCUACCUGCCACAUUGUGUGCCCAUAUAACAUCAUCAGCCACUUCACAUAAACAAUCCCCAAUUGCAAAAUGAUAUAAGCAGGGAGUGAUGCACAUAAAAACCAAACAAACACAAAUUCACAACAAAGCAACGGGUCACUUUAGCACAUUACUGGACGGAAUCAGUUAUAUAUAAGCUGUUGAAGAAAUACUAGUAAAGUGGGAAAGAGAGUUGAUUUCGAUCACAGGUUCAGUUUUAGUAAUGCAAUGUACAUAACCAAACAUUAAUUCUUUGUACAUAAACUACUCUACAACAACAACAACAACCCAGUAUAAUUCCACUUAGUGGAGUCUGGGGAGGUUAGUAUGUAUGCACACCUUACCCCUACCCUUGAGUAGAGAGGCUGUUUCCAAAUAGACCCCGGCAUCCUUCCCUCCAAGAACUUCCACCUUGCUCUUGGGAGACUCGAACUCACAGCCUCUCGGUUGGAAGUGGAGGUUGCUUACCGGAUGAAAAACGCAUUCAACUGAAUAAUCAGAAGAGAGAAAAAAGAAUGAAAUCAGAUUAUUAAGUAAAAAGGGAGUAAGUAUUAAAUUUUACCUCAACGCCAUAUCUGAUAGCAACACCAGCAAGGGUAUCGAAUUUGGAAACUGGGUGUUGUAUAUAACUUGACGAGGAUGUCAGAUUAUGACUAUAAUCUCCUCCUCCAUUCACUCUCCUUUCCAUAACCCAAAAAUCCAAUAAAUUAAUAAAUAAAUAAAUAAAUCCAAGAAACUAAAUAAAACUCAAUCUACACAUUCAGAUUCAAUAGUAGACGAAUUAUGUGCCGCAUGCAAGAAAUAGGGGGCGAGAAUGAUGAAAAGAGUGUCAGAUCUGGUAGAUUGCGUUGCCGAUCUCGUUGAGGAAAAAAAAAUGUGAAGAGAGAGUGAAUAAGGAUGAUGAUGGCUAAAGGCUAAUUGUGAUUUUUAACGACUCUACGCCUCGGCUUUUCAAGAAUCUCUUUUUCUUAUUUUAUUUUACUGCUACUAGUACUAGUAUUUGUUUUUUCUAAUUUCUGCAAUAUAAUAAUAUAAAUAAAAGAAUAAUAGUAGUUCCAUUCAAGUUACAAGGCCAGCCUAUGAAGUUUCAUAUAUUGUAACAACACACCUUUUUCCCACGGAAAAGAAAAAGAACCAAGUUCUAUGCUGUGUGGUGUAAUAAAUUUUACUCCAUCGAACGACUUAUUACUAUCAAUUUGCUUUUUUUAUUUUGGUCCAAAUUAAAUGUUCAUUUAUAUAAUUAAAAAAAAUUAAUUUAUUUUUUUAAAAUUACCCUAUGUACGUACCCCUAAAAAGUCUUUUACUAUUCAUAUUAAAUUAUACUAUAAUAUUUAAUUUAGGGUAGUUUAAUCGCACUAACUAUUUUUGUCAAGAAUUUAAUAUUUUUUAAUGAAUGUGCCCGAGACGAGAAGCGAGCUUAGAUGGUUCGGGCAUAUUCAGAAGAGAAGCCCAGAUACACCGGUAAGGAGGUGCGAGCGGCUGGUCGUGGAAGGCACGAGAAGAGGUAGAUGGUGACCUAAGAAGUAUUGGAGAGAGGUGAUUAGACAGGAUAUGGCAAGGCUUCAGAUUUCGAGGACAUGACACUUGAUAGGAAGAUGUUGAGGUCGAGUAUUAGGGUUAUAUGUUAGGAGGUAGUUGAGUCUUGUCUUUUAUCUUUGUGAGACUGGUCUGGUAGGUUUUAUUUAUUUAUUAUUUUAUUUACUAUUUUGCUUUUCAGUGCAAGAUAUAUUUACUAGUUAUCGCUUAUGCUUUGCAUCUUUUUAUUGGAUUUCAUGUUGUUCCUAUUCUUCAGAUGAUUUCUGCAGUGAUACUAAUAUUAUCUCCUUUUGUCUUUUAUUUUUUUGAGCCGAGGGUCUUUCAGAAACAACCUCUCCACUCCUUUAGGGUAGGGGUAAAGUCUGCGUACUCACUACCCUCCCUAGACAUCACUAGUAAGAUUUUAUUGGGGUGUUAUUAUUAUUGAUGUAUCCGAGAUAAAUUAAUCACUUAUUAUAGACCGGGGGAGUAAGUUAUUGCAAGUGAAUUUAUUGAUAAGCAUUACAAUUUUGCAAUCUUGUAAAAUAAUUUUUUAAAUUAUUAGUGAAUAUCAACUAAAUAAUAAAAAGAAUCUAUACAAAGAGAGAUAGUCAUUUACAUGUUGUAUAAAAGAGUUUGAGUAUGAAAUAAUUUAACAAGGUUGGACUUUAGGGGAGAAAAGAGUUACUCCCUUUGGUCCACAACAAGUGAUCAAUUUAUUUUUUUUUGUCCAAAAUAAGUGUCUAUUUAUAUAAUUAAGAAAAUUUAAUUUAUUUUUACAAAAUUACCCUUAUGUACAUAUUCCUACAAUAUUUUCUUAUUCCUCACAUUAAAUAUUUAAUUAAAGGUAGUUUAGUCAUACUAGGUAUUUUUGUAUAGAAUUUAGUAUUUUCUUAAUGGAUAUGCGUAAAGCAAAUUGGUCACUUAUUGUGGACCGGAGGAAGUAUUAAUUAUUCUUUAUGUCUCAAUUUAGUACAAAUUACACGGGGCGCCCUAUUUGUUCGUCCCCAUUUAACCUAUACCCAAUUUUUUUUAAAAUCUUAUAACUUGUUCCCACUUUUUAAAUUUCAGCCCCUUUCUCUUCUUCUUUGCUAUGCAACUCUCUCGAAUCAUAUUCUUCCCGGUCUCUCAAUAUCAAACAUUCACGUAUAUUGUCAUAAACUGCGAUGACCCAAAGGGUCAUCACUUAUUUUCUUAUUUAUUCCGUGCUUCCGAGGUCUUAAAAAUCUUAUUUCUAGUUGGCUCAAAUUGUGCUCAUAGUCCAGGCACGUAGCCGGAAAGCUUAAUGUAAAAUUCUGUGAAAAAGGCUGAAAUUUGGUGUUAAAAUGAAUAAGUUUGACUUGGGUCAAUAUUUUGGAUAAACGGACCCGGAUCCAUAAUUUGACUGUCUCGGAGGGUCCGUAGGAAAUAUGAGACUUGGGCGUAUGCCCGAAAUCGAAUACCAAGGUCCCAAGCCCGAGAAACGAAUUUGUAACUAAACUUAUUUUUUUGAAAUUAUUAAGAAAAAUUGAAAUGAAAAUUGAUUAGAACAUGUUGGUAUCGGGCUCGUAUUUUUAUUUCAGCGCCCGGUUCAUGUCUUAUAUGUGGUUUAAGAUAUUCCUGUGAAGUUUGGUUGAAAUCGGACGUCGUUUGACGUGUUUCAGACUUAAAAAUCUAAAAUUGAAAGUUUAUGAAAUUUGAAGAAAACUAUUGAUUUUGAGGUUUAAUUCACUGUUUUUGAUAUUAUUUUUGGCAUUUUGAUCGCACUGUUAAGUUCGUAGAAUAUUGUUGAGUUAGUGUAUGUGUUUGGUUAGGAGCCCCGAAAGCUCGGGAGUGUUUCUGAGAUGUUUCGGAGUGGUCUUGGCCCAAAGUUGCAACAGAUUUCAAUUCUGGAGUUCUGAUAUCCAGUGCUAUGUGAUUGCAUAGGCUUUCCCGCGAUCGCAUAGAGUUAGAUUCCAGGUGUCCUGUUUGUUCAAUGUGAUUACAAAUAUUCUCCUGCAAUUGCGUAGAGUAUCCACUCUUCAUUGAAUGUGAUCGCACUACCUUUCUGUGAUCGCAAUGUAUAAAAGCCAAAUCCGGAAUGGAGCCUGUUUUCUUCUACAGGUUCGCAAUACACCUUCCGCGAUUGUAGUGGUCAACAUUCCUAUGCCUAUGCGAUCGCAUGAGCUUCUUCGUGAUCGCAUAGAGUAUUUUUCUGCCCAGUUAUUUAAAAUUCCAGAAACAUUUAGCUACGGGAUUUCACUAAGUUUUCAUAAAAAUCUCUCUUCUCCAAGCACUUAGGUGUCCAUUGAAGCUUCCUUUCAUCAAGACUUCUUGGGUUAGUAAAUCUUAUAUCGUUUUCUUCAUUUUCCAUUAAUAUUAUUGAAUUCCUAAGCCUAAAACAUGUAAUUUAGGGUAGAAAUUGGAGAAAUUGGGUAAAGUUAGGGUUUUUUGAAUUUUCUUGAUUUAUACCUCGUUUUGGUGUCAGAUUUGAUAAUAAAAUAUAUAUUCGGGCUCGUGGGUGAACGGGGAAUAUGAAUUUGGUCUGAACCUUGUGUUUUGACCAAGCGGUCCCGGGGUCGAUUUUUGAAAUUUUGGGAAGAAAGCUUGGAAGUCUAUAAGUAGGCAUUGGGUUUGAUUUGUUUAGCAUAUAUUAAUAGUAUGAAGUUAUUAUUUUAUAGAUUUGGAGCCGAAUUCGAGAGGGGAAGCACUUGAUGGGAUUGAUUUGGCCGUGGAAGUUGAGGUAAGUGUUUGGUCUAACCUUAUCUUGAGGGAAUGAGUGUUGAGUCUUAUUUGCUACUUGCUAAUUGUCGAGUACGAUAUAUAGGCAUGGUGACGAGUAUCUAUACAUUGGUGUCUAGCAUAACUGUGAGUCCUUAUAUUGCGAAUAUUCUGAUUCUUUUGUGACUUUUAUGCUUAAUUGACGAUUUCUAUAUGUUGUAAAAAGCAUGUGAAAGGAAUUGUGAACUUUAAACUUCGAGGAGCACUGACUCGAGUUGAAAUACAUGUUGUGAAGGUAUAUGAAAUAAUCAAAUCCUUGGAGCACUGGUUCACAUGAUAAUGUGAACUAUGAGAUGAAAAUGAAAGGAAGAAAAAUAGUUAUUGGCACGUGAGUCUUUCUAUUGCGAUUAUUCUGAUUUUGUUGUAACUUUCAUGCUUAUUUGAUGAUCUCUAUAUGUUGUAAAAAGCAUGUGAAAGAGAUUGUGAUCAUUAAAUUCCGAGGAGCAUUGGCUUGAAUUGAAAUACAAAUUGCGAAGGUAAAUGAGAUAUUUAAAUCUUUGGAGCAUUGGCUCAAGUGCUAAUGUGAACUAUGAGAUGAAAGUAAAAGAAAGCUAAAGAGUUAUUGGUUUAUUCCCUUGCCGGGAUGUAUUGUUGUUUUGUUGAUUUUGUCCCUUGCCGGGACAUGAAAAUUUAUUGAUAUUGUUCCUUUGCCGCGAUUUAACUAUUUAAUUGUAUUCCUUUGCCGAGAUUUCUAUCAUUACUUGUUUACUUUCUUGCCCCUUAUUUGUGAUUGUUGUUUGGGAGAGGAAGAAUGAUAAAACAUGAAGGGUGAUGUCGUACAUUGUAUGAUAUAUGUGGAUAUGAUUGCUAACUGCAAUAGUAAUGUUUAUGGAUCGGGUUGCAUGCUGCAACAAUGUUAAAUAUUGUAGAUCGGGUUGCAUGCCGCAACAAUGUUAAAUGAUAUGGAUCGGAUUGCACGCCGCAACAACGUUGUUAUGUAUUGGGAUCGGAUUACGCGCCGCAACAAUUAUUGAUACAGGUGUGAUUAUUUGGGAUAUUAGUUUCUUUUGUUCGUUGUAAAUUCUAAGCUGGCCUUAGAUGCUACUCUGGAUUUACUGUUAAUACUGGUAUACCCCCGCAACAUGUUUCCCCCUCCAAUCUUUACCUGCUUAUUUCUGCUUUACUUUCCGCUGUAUAUUAUAUAACUGCACAAGUUUAAUUGCUGGUCUGGUCCUAGCCUCGUUACUACUUCGCCGAGAUUAGACUGGAUACAUACCAGAAUAUGGAGUCGGUUGUGCUGAUACUACACUCUGCACUAUGUGCAUAUCCCAGAGCAGCUAUCAGACACUAGUUGGAGGGCUUCCUUCAGUCUACUCGGAGACCUAAGGUAGGCCUGCAAGUGUCCGCAGGCCCUGACGUCCUACUCUAUCCCAUUUCAUGUUUCCUUAUCCUUGUUCAGAAACAGUUUUAUGUGUUUCUUCAAACUUUGUAUUUAGUGACUCUUAAACGGUCUGUGAUACUGUAACACUAGAUUUUGGGGUGUUAAGUUUAAAAGUUGGAAUAUAUAUAGCUUGAUUAAGUAGUUGAAGACUUCCGCUUAAGUUCUAUAUAAAAAUAUCGUUUUAUUAUAUUGUUGUUUCAUGUUGGUUAAAAAAAAUAUGAAAAAGGUAAGCAAUUUAUUAGGGUCUGGCUUGACUAGCUCACAUCAGUAGGCGCUAUCACGACUUUCGAGUGUGGAAAAUUCGGGUCGUGACAUAAAUCCUAUCACUCAAGAAGAAGGUACCUUUGGAAUCCCAUUUGGUUCAAUUUGUGCAUUCUUUUCUCAUCCAGUCACCAAGGAAUAUUAUCUGCUAUGUCCCAGUCACCAACAAUAAAUGAAGAUAUUGCACAGAUGAGUAAAAAUAUUUCUACUGUUGCAUCCAAAUUGAAUGUUUCCAGUGAACAAGUGUGUCAAAGUUGCAGACUAUCAGUAGUGUAUCAGAUGCUUCACAGGUAGCAGUUCCAAAGAAGCCUAGUGACGAGGUAAUGAAUUUGGACAAUCGACCUCCUAAUUUGGUUAUGGAUGUACCUGCAUCUUAUGUGGAGAGUACUGGGACAAUUAAAACCUCUAUAGUUAUUACCACAUCAAGUGCACGCACUGAACAGGUCAUUGAUCUAGCUGGACAUCCUGAUAAGGACACAACCAUCGAGCAGCAGUCUCUUCAAAAUGCUUUGCAUAAAAACAGUCAGCUAUGGUUGCAUCAAAUUUGACACAGUCAGAUGCAUCUCGCAUACCACCAGAUGAAAACACCAAAAGGACAGAUCAACUCUGGACAAAUUCCAGUGCAGAGAAGUCAGCUGCAUCUUGCAUACCACCAGAUGAAAACACCAAAAGGACUGAUCAAGUCUGGACAAAUUCCUCAGUGCAGAGAGUAGCUAUUGAACAGACACAUUUGAUGCAGAAUGAAAAAAUUGUGGAAUCUGAUGAAUCAUAAGAGAAGUUAACACAAGCCAAAUAUCAAAAAGCUGCGAACAAUUUAUUGCUUAAUGAAACAGUCACUGUAGUUGCUGUAGUGUCAAAAUUGGAUUACUCUCUUCCAACUCACAAUCUUGUUGAUCAACAGCACAUGAGGCAGAAUGAAACAAUUUUUGAAUCUGCUGAAUCACAGGAGAAGUUAACACAUGACAUGGAUCAAAAUGCACCUGAUAAUUCACUGAUUAAUGAAGCUGUCAUUGCAGCUGCUGUAGUGCCAAAGUUGGAUUAUACUCUUCCAACUCAUAGUCUUGCUGAUCAAGGAGGUUCAACUGAUAGCCAGGAUAAUCAGUCUGGCCAAGCGAAUGAUCAGGAAGAUGACACACUACAGUGGAAUACAAAAACUGUUUUGGUUAAUUCUGAUCAUACCAGAACCUAAGAAUCUAAACAACAAGAUCAAUGCUGCAAUAAUCAUCAGGUAGGAGGAGAGGAUAGACAGUUACUCAUUCAAGUAGCUGAUUCAAAUGGAGUAUCAGAAUCUAAUCCAUCUGGUGCAAUAGAAGCUGACAGCACAAAAAUUCAACAUUAUAUGUCACAUGAAUAGAUCUGUACUCUGUAGAAUACAAUCGACAAGAAUACAAGGCACAAUGAACAGAUGGCCAAUGCUCAAUUCUCUCCACCAUCAAAUUCCAUAGGAAAUAACAAACAACUAGUUGUCAGCAUGAGGGACAUGGUCACUAAGUCAAAGUUGUGGAAAGACCAAAGAGACUAUGACGACGAGGAGAGCUGGGGAGAAGGAUUUGGAUGGUCACUAAGUAAAAAUUGUGGAAAGACCAAAGAGAUUAUGACGACGAGGAGAGCUGGGGAUAAGGAUUUGCUGCUUUUUCAUCCUCAGGCGAUGAUCAAGAUUUUGAGGACGACACUGCUGGAGAGGACAGUGGGGGUCAGUUCAUAACUCAAAGGAAGUCUGUGACAAAUAAGUAUACUGGUAAUAUGCAAACAGUAGCACUCAGAAAAACCAAUUUGAACCAUAAUGCUCCAGUAUUUUUGCCAAGAAAUACUAUAAAAUCAGGGAAAACUUCAGCUGCCAAUCGAAGCACAACAAAUAUAGCUAUCCAGAAUCAGAUUGUGCCAAUUAAGACAUCCACGUCAAUGGGGAAGGGACAACAACAGAUUGUUUUAUCUAAUUCUGCAACCAAUCUCCAGAAUCUAAAUUUUUUCAAAGAGGACAUAGGAAGACAUAUAUAUGAUGAAGGGGAGGAAGAAGAUAUCCUAUCGCAUUGUAGAGCCGAAGCGUCAAGAAAUGGAGAUUUAUCUCCAAUGCAUAGCAAAACAAAUAAGAAGUAUCGUCAAAGAGAUACAAGUGGAGAUAGCAUGAUUUGUGAAGAUGCUAACAUUCGGAGGCCCCCAAUGAGAAUCGCAAAGCAAAAACAACUUUUGCAACCAUCUGUUAUAAAGACUAAUCGUUCGAGGAACAAGCAUGAAUUUAAAGCCAUAUGGAAAAAAUAAAUUACAUCACAUUUGUUGUAUUUUACUGUUUUUUAUUAAUAAAAAUCUAGCACUAGACUUCGCCUAGUGAAUUGCCAAAAAAAAAAAGGUUUGACAAGUAUAGAAUUCAAUAUGCUUAGGCUUAACUUAUUGGUGUCUAAUAAUCUGAAUUCGGAAACAGGCUGGAAAAAGUCUUCCUUUGUCUCACCCCAUUUCUUUCCUUUCGAUUACGGAUCUUCUGUAAUAGUAAAGGAUGCUAUUUGUUGGAUGGUUCAACGUCUUUUUUCAACAGAUGAUUCUUUGUUUAGAAUUCCUACUUGUGAAGAGUUUAUUGUGAUAUUUGACAUAAAAAAUGAGGAAUUUGAUGCGCUAUUUCUCCGGGGUGAAAUUCCGGUUACAAAAAUAAAAACUUCUAGUUACAAACAAAAACUUCGCCAGUUACAAACAAAAACUUCGACAGUUACAAAACAAAAACUUUGACAGUUACAAAACAAAAACUACAGCUCUAGAGUUGAACUUCAGGCCCGACUACUAGAAUGCUGAAGUUCUGCGUGAUUGUAUUUGCUACUUCAGCCCUGUAUGCUGAAGUUAUGCUAAAAACCGGGUAUACUUGUAAUUUUUUUUGCAAAACGGGCAUAAGUUAAAAUUUGACACAAAAAGUAGGUAUAGAUGCAAAUGACCCUCAAUUUAUAUGAAGGUGUUUGAGUGAGUUGGAAGUUUAAGAGAAAAAGAAAAACUUUUGAAACUUAAACGUAAAAUAAAUUAUAAUAAAUUAAAAUAUUUAAAUAACCAAGAAAAAUUUACUUGAUAGGUAAUUUAACGUACUCUAUUAGCCAAUUGGAUAUAGUUAUUGUGCAAAGUUAAGAUCUCAAGAGUCUAAAUAUUUUGGGUUCUAUUCUUUUAAUACAUAAAUGAAGGUCUGUAUGCAAGUAAUGUUUUUAAUGCUCAAUAUAUUGGUAGUUAUUGAUUACUAUAUUUAUGAUCGUUUAGUUCUUAAUCUCGUUCCGACUCUCCAAGAUAGUCAAGAUAUUUCAAUUUUAACUUUUGACUUGAAAACUUAUCCAAAAAGUCCAAAGGAUUAGAAACCAAUACUUUAUAGAAAUUUUAACGGAAGAAAAUUAAUUUAUUUGAAUUUCUACCAAUUUCCAACUUUCAAGAUUUCCUUUAGAUGAAAACAAUUUUCUUUGAAAACAAGCCUGUUUUUUGUGCUUAGGUGGGUAACUUAGGGGUUAUUCACCUUUGGUUAUUUAUGUUAAAGUUAUUUUUUAAAUGAUCACUCAACUAAUAAAAAAUGUGAAAGAAAGUUAUUUUUUUCUGUUUUGUAAUAGAAAAAGUUACUCAAUUAAUAUAAUUAUUAUGUAAAAAAUCACUUUUUUUGUUUUACAACAGAAAUAUAACUCUUUUUUCAGUCUAGUUAAUUUUUUUUGGAAGAUUGAAUCUAAUAGAUGACCGAGGAGAAAAAUCAAGAAAUCUUCAAAAGUAAAAAUUUGGACUAGACUGAGAAAAAAAAUUCUAAAUCGCUUACUGAGAGAAGAAACACUAAAUUCAUGGACUAAUAAAAUAAAAAUGAAUCCUCUAUUAUAUAUUUGAUCCAUAAAAUUAUAACAGAUUAUAUCAUUUUAGCUGCUCAGUGAAACAGAUAUAAUAGGUGAUAUUUUACAACAACAACAAAAAUUACCCAGUAUAGUUCCAUAAAAUAGGGUCUGGGGAGGGUAAUAUGUAGAUGAGCCUUACCCCUUAUCCGAAAGAGCAGAGAGGCUGUUUCCAAUGGACCCCGGCGCAGUGAAGGAAAUAAUAGGUGAUAUUUCAUUUCUAAAAUUUUGGCUUUGAAAAAAAUUAUCAACUAAAGCCGGCGAAAUUAUUACUACCGAAAUGGGUAGAGCGACUUUGUAGGUGAACUAACAAAAAUAACUCUGAGACAAAAAGAGUGACUUUUUGACAGAAUUUUCAUUGGUUGAGUAGCUUUUCUAUUAUUAAAAAAAAAUUAAAAAAACUCUCUUACACAAUUUCAAUUAAUUGAAUAAUUAUUUAAGAGAUUACCUCUUUUUUUUCACUUGAAAAUUUUCCCUAACAAAAUAGUUACUUUGGUCUCUAUGCAGAAGCAAACAUGAUAUAUAUGUCAAUUCUCAGUCAGUUUUCUAAGCAAGCAAGAAAGUACCAUGUACAGCAUCUUUUAGAAAUUAUCUAAGUUUUUCUUUAUGCAACGUUGACUUGUAGUUGGAGUCAAUUUGAGGAAAGGAUUGUGAAUUUAUAGAAGUAAUUCAUAAUAAUCAAUAAUAUUAGUCAUAUAGGGAAUAGAGGACUCCUCUAGCUUUAACGUUUUAUUUAUUUUAAAAACAAUAAGCUAAAAGUCAACAGUAGAGAGUAUUGUGUGAUAGGAUGGUCACCGACAACUUUCCGCGUUCAAAAAACACCGAACUCGAAUCCACGAACCUGCUUUUUUGAUACUCCACGUGUUAUAUUUUUGCCAACCUUAUAUUAUUCCCUCCUUACAAAAACGAAAAGAAAAACUUCUUGAACAUGGAUGACUUUCCUGAUCAGUAAUUUCUUCGGUCAAAGCUUGUUGUAUUGAGUUUGUUUAGUAGAAUUUAUAAUUUAUUGCACAGUGAGCAACUUAUUUAGCGUGUAAUCGAAGAAUAAAAAUUGCACACUUUCCUAGGAACUUUUAAAAAAACUUAAAAUAGACAGGAAUAAUAAAAAAGACUUGCUUUUUAUUUGGUUUAUUGUAACAACCCGAUCGAUCGUUUUGAGUAUUUACAUUCAGUUCGGCUGUUUGAGGUUACAAAUAGCUUCACUUGGUGUAUCAUGACUUGAGUGCAUCGUCGACUUUGGUUUUUGAGUGGUUCAGAUAUGAUUUUGAAGGAUGACUCUCACUUGAUAAGCUUGAAGUUGAAAGAGUUGAUCAAGUUUGACUUUGUAUAUUUGACAUCAAAUUGGAAUUUUGAUGGUCUCGGUAGGUCUUGAUGGUGAUUUAACCUGGGACCUAUGCCCGGAAUUGCAUUUUGAUGUUUCUAGAAGGUUUCGGCACCAUUUGGCGGAAGUUGGCAAUUUAAAGGUUUGAAAUUUUUUUUAAAUUUGACCAUGGUUUGACUUUAAGGCUAUCAUAUUUAGAUUUUGAUUUGGGAACUUGGAAUAGGUCCUUUUUGUCAUUUGAAACUUGUAUGCAAAAUUUGGUGACCUUUGGAGUUAAUUUGAUGUGGUUCGCACGCUUGGUUGCAAUUCUAGAAGUUCUUGAAAUUCAAUGUGAUUUUCAUUCGUUUUGGUAUCCGAUUCGUGGUUCUAGAUGUUAUUCAGAUAUUUUGAUCACACAAGUGAGUUUGUAUGGUAUUUUUAGACUCGUGUAGAUAUUUGCUUUAGAGUCCUGAGGGAACAGAUGAGUUGUGGACACGUGCCGGAGGAGUUUGUAGAAGUUCCAUUGGUUAUGGUGCUUUAUUAUUGCAUUUGAGAGGUUUUUAUCGCAUUUGCGAGAUCCUUCUAGCUUUUGAGAUGAUGGGAUGGGAAUAGGGGAGUUCGCAUUUGUGAUGGCAGCUGGGAAGGACAGCUUCCGCAUUUGCGACAAAACCUGUCGCUUUUGUGAUGACUCAGUGUUCGCUUUUCUGUUACACCCCCCAUGUUUUCGUAUGUAAAAGUACGUCGUAAGUCAAUUUAUGCAAGCUCAGAAAUGAGAUCAUCUUAGGUCACAAGUUACAUUCAUAAAUAUGCUGAAAAUUAGGUCGAAUAUAAUUGAUCUUUUCUCCCAAUAUGCUUGAAAUUACGGGAUGAUCCACCUACAAAAUUUAAGAUCCACGAGUUUAGUUUCUAACGCAUUCGUCUCCCCAUACACUUUUGUUUCUAUAGAAAUAAUCGAGCAAUUAAAGAUAAUUAGAGAGCUUGUGGAUUGGGUGUUCACCACCUGUUUCAGGGCUCAGGUAAUUCGGAUCUGUGCCAUGUAAGGGCCAUUAAAGAGAUCCCUAUGUGUACGUUCAAGAUCGGGUUCGCCCAUUGUGUGGUCAAUCGAGGCUGAAACAUGGCAGGUCAAAGCUCGAGCUCGAGUUAUAUCGAACCAAGACGUGAAAUUAGACUGUCGAGCUCAUGACCAUGGGACCGAACAAAAUCGAGAUAAAUUUGCCGAGCAAAAUAAUAAAAAACCAAAAUAUCUGUGAUCGGUUGGAGAUCAUGGCAGAAAUAUCGGCACAUAUCAAGAAGAGGCCGAUUAAUUAGCAAAUCAUGAGAUUUUUUACCUUGUAUAAAAUUAUAUCAAGAGUAGCACACCCUACUAUAUAAAGGGUUUUUUAAUCAUUUGUAAAACACACCAAAAAGUAAUACACUUUUUAUUUCUAUUUCUUGGCUCGAGGGUAAUCAAGCUCAAAGGCUAUGGUUGUUCAAUUGUGUGCUUUGAAUUUAUUUUUUUAUCAUUAAUUUUAAUAUUUAAUCUGUUUGCUUAAUUUGUAUCAAUUUAUAUCACAUAUUCUUAAAAUCGCGUAAAAAUUUAAUUACUAUCCAAUUUUAAGAGUAAACAAUUUGGCGGGACUAAGGAUAAUAGUGGUUACUUGAUACAAACUUUAAUAAUACAAACUAUUUUACACUUGUUCUUUAGAGUAUCUUUGAUUCUAGGACCAAAAUGUUAAACUCUCAGUCAGCACCCCUACACGUUGACAAUGAUUUUGGCCACCACAACGAAAAUGAUAACAUAGCACCAGGGAACGACGUACCCCCGGUCGAUCUCGACGGAGUCCUUGCCGUAGAUUCAAUCGAUGUUAAUUCGCAUGUAACCAUCAACGCAAAUUUGGCCGCUAAUCUUGAAGGCAGUGUUCGUAGAGAUGUUCGAUCAGCCACUCAAAGCACACUGGAAGCAAAUAUGGCAGACUGGUGAUCUUCAAAAUAUUGCAGGCUCAACAAGCGGCAAUAGCCUAGCUCUAGAACCAGAAUCGCCCACCGAGUAGGAUUGAGCGCGAGCCGACCUAGAAAGUUGUUCAUAGAGUUGAAUCGGUCUCAAGGGAAUCAAAUGAUAAAGAACCGGGGACCAAUCCAGUAAUCAUGAAGAUGCUCGAGGAACUGACAAAACGAACUAAGUCGGGGGAAAAGAAAAUUGAGGCAAAAGAUAAGAAGGUGGAAACUUACAAUUCAAGGUUGACUAAAUCCCGGGAGCACCACCGAUAUUGAAGGGCCCAGAUUCCAAAAAGUUCAUGCGAAAACCUUUUCCCUUGAGUGAAGCUCCCAAAAUGAUCCCCAAGAAUUUCUGUAUGCCCGAGAUUCCUAAGUACAAUGGAAUGACCAAUCCGAACGAGCAUGUUAGCUCUUACACAUGUGCUAUUAAAGAGAAUAAUCUAGAGGAUGACGAGAUCGAAUCUGUCUUGCUAAAGAAAUUCAGAGAGACCCUGUCAAAAAGAGCAAUAAUAUGAUACCACAAUUUACCACCUAAAUCUUUUGAUUCAUUUGCUAUGCUUGCAGAUUCUUUCGUAAAGGCACACGCCAGGGCCAUCAAGGUUGAGAUAAGGAAGUCGGACCUUUUCAAGGUAAGGCAGAAGGACAACGAAAAUGCUCAUAGAAUUAUGACUCGAUUCCACAUGGAACGAAUGGACCUGCUACUAGUCGCUGAUGAUUGGGCUAUUCAAGCUUUCACUCAAGGACUCAAUGUUUGAAGCUCGGUGGCUUCACAACAAUUGAAGCAAAAUCUAAUAGAAUAUCCGAUUGUCACUUGGGCUGAUGUGCAUAAUCGGUACAAAUUGAAGAUUAGGGUCGAAGAUGAUCAACUUGGGACUUCUUCCAAGCCCGUUCAUCCUGUCAGACCCGUAAAUGGAAUCAAGAGGGAUAUUAAUCGGAACCGAUGUUGAAGAGAGUUCGAUACCAACCAUGUAAUGCAGAUCGUAGAAGAAGCGGAUCUGGGCAAAAUUCUGUACGAAAUUAAAGAAAACAUUAUCUAUGCCAGAGCCCUCAUGGGCUCAUGAGAAAAAACAUUUCGACAAGCCUAUCAGACCUAAAGAAACACCAUGAUUAUAAAAAUACAACUUCAAUAUUGAUGCAGCUGCCAUUAUAUCGGCUAUUAGAUGCAUCAAAGAUACCAAGUGGCCUCGACCUUUACAAAUCGAUCCAGCCCAAAGAUAUCACAACAAAAUGUGCAAAGAUUGUGACACUCAUGGCCACACAAUGGAGGAUUGUCAACAAUUGAGAGAAUAAGUAGCCCAGUUAUUCAACAACAUGCACCUUCAAGAAUUUCUGAGUGACUGAGCUGUUAGUUUGUAUGGGUCCACCAAAUCUUAGAGUACCUGGUCCUCUACAAGUUUUUACUGAGAGAACUUAGUAAAGCAAUAAGUAAAUGAGGCAGAGUAUUUUUACGUGGAAAAAAUCCCACACAAGGGGAUCAAACAACCACAACCUAUACCUGUAGACUUUUAACUUUACUAACUUGUAAUCUUACCUAUUAGAAGCCACUUUUCAAUCCUUCCGAUUGCAAAGGAUUUACUCAACUAACUUGUGGUACCUUUACCACAAGCCAAUUUAUGACUAUCUUAGUUACAAAGGCUUUAUCUAACUUAUGGUGCUAUCACCCCAAGCCACUUUGCAAUUCUACAAUUACAAAGACUUUUCUUUAUGACUAAAUCUACUCACAACCUAAACUCAGCGAGUUUGAGGAUUUACAAGAGGACUCCUAAUCAUUAUGCUUCUAAAUAAGCAAUUUAUGAGAUAUAUUAAGUACAAUAAUAAGGUUACAACUUAACUAGGACAAUAAUCAAUCUUUUAAGAACUUGUCCAUAGUGGCGUUCAACCUUGUUCUUCAAGCUUGAGAGGACGAUGAGUUUUCUAUUUUUGCAGAAGCUUGAAUGAGAAACACAAACCUUCUAGUGAUAUGAAGCUUCAUCGGGUAUAUUCAAUCACAUCACAUGAAGUGAUGUGAGUUCUUUGUUUGGUUAGAGAGUGAGUUGGCUGACAGUGUAUUGCAGUGCCCCAAAAACAGUGUCGUCGGUCACUUCAGUUCCAGUUGUGUCCACAUGACUUUGUACUACUACAUAGGAACCACAUGAGCACCAGGUUCUUGAUUAGUUCCUAGCUCCCGAAUCAAUAGCAGUUCAUCCUUAGUUGAGACCCGUUCAAGUUUGCAGCAAUCUAAGUAGGUCAAGUUCCGUAUCUGGUUCUUAGCAGUAAGUUAUCAAAAUAUGAGGCAAGAUUAUUUAAGAUCUAUCACGAGAUAAAAAUCAUUUCAUAAAUAGAGACUCCAAUAAACAAACCCAGCAAGAAGAACCUCAACACGUCAUUCAUAUGAUCAUCAGAGGGGUCGAUGUUCCUCAAUGUCUGAUGUUAAAACGCACCAAAGUAUCUAUCACGAGGGAGAACGAACUCGAGAUUACAUACCAAAAGGAACUAUGUCUUUCAAUGACGAGGUAGCAGAAGGAAUCGUGCAGCCCCACAAUGAUGCACUGGUAAUAUCUGUAUUCAUGAAUAAAUAUCAAGUAAUACGUGUGUUAAUUAAUCCAGGUAGAUCAGCCAACAUCAUUCAAUUGAGGGUCAUAGAACAACUCAACCUACAUGACCAAAUCGUACUUGUAGCCCGAGUGCUAAACGUAUUCAACAUGGUUUUCAAAACUACUAAAGGAGAAAUAACACUAACAGUAAAUGUAGCCGAAACCAUCCAGGAUACCAAGUUUUAUAUGAUAGAAGGGGACAUGAGGUUCAAUGCCCUUGGAUUCACAGCAUGAGGGCUGUGCCCUCGACCCUUUACCAGGUGUUACAAUUCCCAACACUAGAGGGGAUUAAAAUGAUCUAGGGGAGCAACCUGCUGCAAGGAGAUAUUUUCCAUCGAUGAAGCAAUUACGAUAUCAAAUCUCUCAUCAACAAAGGAUCCAGGUUCAAAAGCAAAACAAGAAGAAAAAUAUCAAUCACCGAUGGGAACAAAGAUAAAGCAUGCUUUCAUAAAGGACGAGUAAAAUAUGAAUCACCUGGGAGUUCAAAUACCAGGAAUGGUUAGCAAAAAUAGUAGUAAUCCCUAAAAAUGGGAAAAACAUAGGAAUGUAUGUGAAUUAUAAAGAUUUAAAUAUGGCAUGCCCCAAAGACUCUUUCCCUUUGCCAAACAUCGAUUCGCAUGAUCAAUGCCAGCCGACCACGAGAUCCUCUGUUUUCUCGAUGUCUACUCUAUGUAUAAUGAAAUAUGAAUGAACCCGGAUGAUCAAGAAAGAACUCCUUCAUCACUAAGUAUGGCACGUGUUGCUAUAACAUAAUGCCAUUUGGAUUAAAAAAUGCCGGUGCCACUUACCAACCCUAGUAAACCGAAUGUUCAAAGAAAAUAGGGAAAUCCAUUGAAGUUUACAUUGACAGUGUGUUAGUUAAGUCCCUGCAAGUAGAUACCAUUUAAAAUGUUUGCAAGAAACCUUCAGUAUAUUGAAGAAGUAUAACAUGAAGCUGAAUUCAAAAAAUAGGCGUUCGGUGUCGAAUCAGGUAAAUUUCUCGAGUUUAUGGUAUCCAACUAAGGAAUCAAGAUCAACCCCGACAAGAUUAAAGCUAUCGAGGAUAUCACAGUAAUGGACAAUGUUAAGGUCGUACAAAGGCUAUUCGAGCGCAUUGUCGCCUUGGGACGAUUCAUAUCGAGAUCCUCCGAUAAGAGUGAUCGGCUCCAGUCCUGCACCAAUAUAUAAUGGUGAGGAGUGGUCGAUGCAACUUUUACCCAAAAGGUCGGUAUUGAUAUCCACAAGGAGUUAAUAUUUGUUGGGAGUUGGGUGUCUAUCUAAUCUAGCAACAUGUGUUGCUUUUAAUUGCACUUCUAACCAUGCUUGAAUGUUUUUCUAUUCCACUUUUAGUGCCACCGAUUGCUGAAAAUAAUCUAAGUACAAUGUUUUGUAGGAGUUUUUUAAAUUGAUAAAAAGCACUAGGGACGUGAUUUACACCUAGGCGGGUAUCUAAUGGAGUCUAGAAUUUAGGACAAACUUGGGGUCAAAAUAUGAACUUUAUACAUAAUUACUCACUUUAUACCUCUGGGUAGUUUGAGUGACUUUGACCUAAUUGGCUUUCUCAAGCCCAAUUGGGUGUUCAAACGAUCUCAGUAAAAUUGGCUCAAGUCGUGUAUUACUAUCUCUAGGUUUAAACCGUUAAUUGGGACUAUCAAUCUCUUGAAUGCACCCCAAUUCCUUGUUAGCCUAAUUUUCCUAGACUUAGUCCCUCUUUCUCAAGAAGAGUCUAAGUCAUAAAGGCACGAAUCAGUGUUUGCAACCACCACCACCA